rnacentral:lncRNA from 1 species
GAGCCGACUGCCUGUAGGAAUCCCCCUUUCCAACUCCUUGGCCGAAGUCGAGUCUAGACUUUACAAAACUUUUACUAACAUGGCUGUGCGGCCCAUGGGCCCACGUCGCCAUUGGGUGGUAUUAGGAUCUUUUACUCCUCGACCUUUACUCUGGGAUUCUGAACUCUCUUCUAUUCGGGUUAAACGAUUUUGCUAAAAACAAAACUAACUUUAGGUUCUCGCAAGUACUUUCUCCCGGAGAGCCACUUGUUACCGAUUACCGCCUGCUGCACCAGAAGAUUUCGAGAUACUCUACGAUGUGCUCUGGAGACUAUGUGCCAUCGCUUUUGCAAUUCACUUCCAUCGAUAAAUCCCUCUGGAUAACUACUUACACCUAUCGUUCAUAUUGUCAUCCCCCGUUGCUUUUGUUAUUACAAAAUGUCCUGAAAUACUCUUCGGUAUUCCGAGAAUUCUUUACGCUUACUGCCCUGCAGUUCCUUGCUGCAUGAAUACCCCUACGGAUAAUUACUCGCGCUUGCCGAGUAUCCGCUCAUCCCCAGUUGUUCUUGUGUUUCACAAAAGUCUUCAAAAUAAUAUUCGAUCUUCCGAAAAUCCUCUGGAGCCUUUGGCUCUUGAAAUUCUUGCUUGCUGGCAUUAUGGUUAAUCCCAUAAGUCUCGUAGUCUUAAUGACAUUCCUUGUCAUUAUCAUUUUGAGUCUGUUGACUCAAUAUGUUGCGAAUACACGCAAUCAUCAUUGAUCCUUAUAAAUUACCUUUCCGACUGAGCUUCCAUUCUUUUAACGGGAAUUGGUUCUCGACCAAUCCAAUUGUCGUUGAUUGUACCCUAAGGCUAUUCAACUUAUCCCUCCCUAAUCAGUGCAUUGCUUCUGAUCCCUUGAUUUGGAAAUCACAAUUCCUUUGCAUUUGACAAUUGAGUUAGUCAGUUGUUUCUAUAAUCUGAUCUCCUUGCAUUCUUCUUCCUCUAGUUGAGUACCGAUACUCGUAUCAGAUCCUUUGUGGACCAUCAAGUCCUUUGUUGGAUUGUUAUCCGACAGUGUUCUUCACAUUUAAUCACUUUGUGAGUUCUUCCCCUGAUACAUAAUGCCUUUGUUAAGUUGUAUCCUCUGCUUGGCCAACCAUGCUCUGCUUUCGGGCUUGUGUUAUUUACUCUUGAAACUUGUGGUAUAUGUUUCUAAGAAGCCCCUAUGGGUUGAACAUAUGCCUUCUCUAAAUCGUGUGAACCCAAAAGUUUUCACGAGUCAUACUCUUCUGGUGCUUCACCAGAUAAAAUUUCAACACUGCAACUUCAUCGAACGUGAGAAGUGAAUGAAAGGUUAUGCAUUGGAGAAGUGGGAGUCGACCUUGAACUUGUGUUCUUGCCCAUGGACACGAUGUAGAUCUUAUCAUUAAAGCUUCUCUUAAAUGAAUUAUUCCUUUGGUAUAAGUUCAUCUUAUAUCUAGGAUCUGGCCUUCUGCAAUCGUGGUUCCGACCAUGAUUGUUCUUCUUUGAUCUCAUUUCUCGGACAAGUUAAAACACUUGUCUUCUGUGGAUCAAUACCCCAGUCCAACCUCUACUUUGAUCUGUCGUCGAGUAUUACCCCCUGGUAUCUCGAGGAUACCACGGGAUACAUAACUUCUUAUGAGUUCUUCAUCAACUAAUAUUCUUGCCGAUUCCAUUUUUCCAACGGGUUCUCAGUUGUUAGAACCCCUCAAGGACACCGACAACUGAAUUGAGUCCGCACUACGAUUCAACAACUCUUCAGUAAGCUUCUAUAAGUACGAGUUUGUACCCGAUCACGCCAUUCCUAGCCUGUUUGGGUAUAUCAUUGUCGUGACGAUUCUAACUGUGCUACCUGGCCCUUAUUCUCGGAGCACCAAUUUUCGACGAUGAACUAACCUUACGUCGAUCCUCAUCGCCAUAUCAUUUCGCCUUGAACAACAAGCUUGGUUUCGAGUUUGUGUCGUACCCUUGGUUCCAAUAACCUUUCACUUCAUCAUUACUUGACUUGAUGUCGUCACCGAUCGAUUACAUCUUCAUGAACUCUCGCGACAAAGGUGUCGUGAUCAUCAACAUUCUGAGCUCAUCCAGGAUAUCAAUUGAAUUCAUGAUGAGAAAUACCAUCCUUGCCCUCGAUGAAUUGUAUUAUCGUCGACCACUUUAUUGCCCUCCCACCAACACAAGCUUGUUCAUGUUUGGUGUUAUACCUUGAGUUCCUUGCUAUCCAGCAAUUGUUCUUCUUUACCUUGGAGUAUUACCAUCCUUUAUGUCAAGAAUGUUCUGAGAUUUGUUCCACCUCUUGAGAAUUCUUGACAUAGAAAUACUUCUCACCAUCACCAUUCUUUCUUGGUCCCCGUGUUAAUUCCAACAAGUGAACGGUGUUGUUUGGAUUCUUUCCUUCUAGCAACCCUAUUUUUUUUGAAGUUAAUGGUCGAAAGUUCAUUCUUAGGCUAUUGACUAUUGAAUCACCAUUCUGACAUUGGUCGUGCAACCCAACCCAUAUUUCGGGUGCACCUUUCAACCAAUGUUUAAUUGUGUAUGUUUUCCUCGAGCAUACAUCAUUAUACCAUUUGAUCUGACAAAUGUCAUCUUCUUGUUCACAUUAUUGUGGAAAUCCAUCUUUUGAAAAUCUCAAUGAAUUGUCGCUGAGUCAAUCAGCCACCUCCUCACCUCUCCUUGGUUUAAUGAUGAACUAUUGUUUCAGGAACCCGCUCCCAUAGUUCAUUUCCCGAGAAUCUUGCAAUGCCAUUUCAACGAUUUGUGUUGCGCCUUUUCUUCUCGGACAUCCUGAGUCUGAGGCAUCAUGACACCAAUUGGAUCUGAAUCUCGGUCAGAUAUGAUGGUUGGGACAACUUUCCAGGAGUUAUGUUGUUUGUCCUUUGAUGACCCGGUAACAUGAUGUCAUGCCUAGCACCCCCCCCCCCCUGGCUGGAGGACCUAUCAUUAUAGAUUCCUUUUCAGCAAGGUUAUCCAUUCAUCCAUGAGGAAAUUGUAAGACUUAUUCUACAAGUUAUUCCUGAUGGAUCCUUCAUGUUUCUAAAGUCUGAUCUUCACCUGAAGACCAUGUCAAUGCUAUCUCGAAGCAUGUCUAUGGUACUCCGAUUUUCAACAAAAAAACAUUUGAAGCCCAAUGCUAAAUGUUUCCUACUCGAUUAUCCAAACACCGCUGUAUGGGUAUGGUCAUCAAAUUCCUCUCCCCUUACCUAAAUGGUUAUCCACUAUAUCCUGUCGUGGAUAUCUUGCUCUGCUUGUCCUUGGGAAGGAUAUACCCCUGAAUUAUGUGUUUUAACACAUUUUCCUUUCCAUUGUUCUGUUUAAUCUGAUAUUCAUAUUUUCCUUUCCAUUGUUGUGUUUGACAUUCUUGUGAUCUAUAUAAUCUAAGCAGUAAAGAUUCACUGCUUAUGUAAACACCUCGAUGUAUAAUUGGUCAGUAAGACCCUGUUACGAUUGUUGAUGAUAUUCCGGUAACCACCGAUGGACGAGAACUUUGCCUAUUGGCCCGCCUCGUUCAACGAGCAGGAAAAUAGUUCUCUUCGUCCCUCGCCCUUGGUAUCGACGUUGUCGCCGACAUAAUCGACAGGCUACCCCCCCUGACAUGCCUUGCUUCCAUGAUCACGCAAGACGUCUCCGCCCUUCCUACUUCUAACCCACAUGGUGGGCCCAUAACCCACAGGUCCACUGGAUCGAAACCUGACUCUCCUGUACACCCUCAUGUUUCCAAAGUUAUUCCUCGCGCGUGGACUCGUAUGAAAUUCAUGAGCCACCUUCCUAAUGCUCUAUUCUGGUAUCACCCGCCAUACUUACUCUCGCUACUCUGAACCCCUUUCUCACUCUGGUUCAGACUUCGAGCAACUAUCUAUCUGCUUGAAACUUCUUAUUGUACCUUCCAACUUUACUCUCGAUGUGUUUUAUUUUGUUCAACUCGAGAGGUACUCAUUUGCUCAUUCAUGGGUUAAUCCCAGAUUAUUACCCUUAUAGCAUUCUGUCGUUGCUGAUCUGCCUCGUUACCUAUUCUUAAAUACGAUGAAGAUCUCGAAGAAAGGAUGCCGACUUCAUCCUGAUGACCUGAAGCAGAGGAAUGAAGACAUCAGUGUAAUGGAUUGAUCUCUUCAAGAAGAGCAACCAAAGANNNNNNNNNNNNNNNNNNNNNNNNNNNNNNNNNNNNNNNNNNNNNNNNNNNNNNNNNNNNNNNNNNNNNNNNNNNNNNNNNNNNNNNNNNNNNNNNNNNNNNNNNNNNNNNNNNNNNNNNNNNNNNNNNNNNNNNNNNNNNNNNNNNNNNNNNNNNNNNNNNNNNNNNNNNNNNNNNNNNNNNNNNNNNNNNNNNNNNNNNNNNNNNNNNNNNNNNNNNNNNNNNNNNNNNNNNNNNNNNNNNNNNNNNNNNNNNNNNNNNNNNNNNNNNNNNNNNNNNNNNNNNNNNNNNNNNNNNNNNNNNNNNNNNNNNNNNNNNNNNNNNNNNNNNNNNNNNNNNNNNNNNNNNNNNNNNNNNNNNNNNNNNNNNNNNNNNNNNNNNNNNNNNNNNNNNNNNNNNNNNNNNNNNNNNNNNNNNNNNNNNNNNNNNNNNNNNNNNNNNNNNNNNNNNNNNNNNNNNNNNNNNNNNNNNNNNNNNNNNNNNNNNNNNNNNNNNNCGCUGCCCUCGACCUCGGCGCGCCGACGCCGCUCGUCGUCUCUGGCGCCGCCCGCUACCUCGCCCCCGCCUCCUCGACGCCGCACAAUCGUUGGACCUCGCCGACGCCGUCCGGAGAAACCCCUCCCCGUCGUCAUCCACGUCGGCACCCGAGCCCGGCGCCGCGUUGCCCUUCGAACGCGCCUCGCCGCCGCAAUCGACAGCCACUUGGGCGAGCUCCCACGACGUCACCCGAAACUGCAUCGCCCUCCACCUCGACCGCCUCCUCGCCGACCUCGCGUCCUCAUCCUCUUCCCCGCCGGCCGCCAGCAAGCCUCGGCGCCCUCUCUCCCCAUCAACGCUGGUGAGGCCCCGGGCCUCUUCCCUUCUCUGCCUCACGCCUCGCUCACGGUCACCGCAUGCUAGACCGCCCACGUGCGCGCCCGCGGUGAGCACGUGCUCACCACGCCCUGCGCGUCGUGCUCCCCGCGACCGAGUCGUCCUCGGCGUGCGCCACCUCCUCGUGCCGCCCGCGACGUCCGCUCCUCCCGUUUGCCGCUCCGGCUGCCGGCGCCUCGCAGCACUCUGUCGGGCGUCCGCAACGCCCGCUGCGCCCAUUCGGGCCUUGCCCGUACCCGCGUGCCCGUUAGGCCCCACGGGCCACAAAUAUCUGGCCCCCCCUAGUGCCACUGACCGACUGGGCCCACACCCAUGUACUGAUUAGAACGAAAAAGAUAGGGAAUUAAAUAAAUAUAAUUAGUAAAAAUGAAAAUGAAUAAAAUUAAUUAAUUAAAUAAUUAAUUAAGUAAAUAAUUAAUUUAAUUAAUCCUGAUUAAUUAACCUAAUGGCUAAUUAACCUAAUUAACUACUGCUAAUUAAACUAAACUAGGGUAAUUAGUUAACAGUCACUGACGGACGGGACCCACAUGUCAGGUUGACCAGUCAACUCUGUUGACUGCUGACGUCAGCAUGACGUCAUGCUGAUGUCAUUAAUCUAUUUUUCGAAUUAAUUAAAUAAUUAAUUAAAUUCCAGAAAUUAAUAAAAUCUUUAGAAAAUCAUAUCUUUUAAUCCGUAACUCGGAUUAAAAUAUUUUCAACAUGAAAGUUGCUCAAAACAACGAGACGAAUCCGGAUACGCAGCCCGUUCGUCCGCCACACACCCCUAACCUAUCAAACCCGCAACUUUCCCCCUCCGGCUCCUCUGCCCGAAAACACGAAACACCGGGAAUACUUUCCCGGGGGUUUUCCCCCUUCACCGGUAUCACCUACUACCGCGUUAGGGCACACCGAACACCGCGUAUUGCCUUGAUAUAUUUUGUGGUGCUUUGUUUGCUCUGUAUUCAUUAUUUCUUCCCCCUCUUCUCUCCGGUAGACUACGAGACCGACGCUGCUGCUGACCAGUUCGACUACGGAGUUGACGACCCCUCUCUCUUGCCAGAGCAACCAGGCAAGCCCCCCCCUUGAUCACCAGAUAUCGCCUACUCUUCUCUAUACUGCUUUCAUUAGAGUAGUGUAGCAUGUUACUGCUUUCCGUUAAUCCUAUUCUGACAUUGUUGCUACAUCUGUUGAUACCUUACCUGCAAUCCUAAAUACUUAGUAUAGGAUGCUAGUUUACCAUCAGUGGCCCUACACUCUUGUCCGUCUGCCAUGCUAUACUACUGGGCCGUGAUCACUUCGGGAGGUGAUCACGGGCAUAUACGAUAUACUUUACACGGUUACAUUACCUGUGAUACUGUUCGGAGAUGGGGGCUGAAGGGGCAAGUGGCUCCAUCCCGGUAGAGGUGGGCCUGGUGUCAGGACCCCGACUCGAUGUCACAUCGAUCUAGCCGGUAACACUUCAUAUCACUUUGCGGCCUCACGCACGGUAUUCCCACGGGUGUCGCCUUACCUUUGCCCGGGACCGUUUGCGCCUUUUGGCUCACGUAUAUGAUAGUGUCGCUAGCAUCCAUAUGAUAAAGAGCCCGGGCUGACAUGACUAGUCGUAAACCCAAAGCGGCACAGACUUACAGGGACAGGCAUCCAUGACCCAGCUUCGAACGUGUCGGUCAUCAGCAAGUGGGCCCGGGCUGUAGCACUGGGCUAGCAGGACUCCGGUAAACCGGGCUGUAGCGGGCUAACAGGACUCCGGUACUCAAAGCGUGACAUUUCCCCGAAGGGACAGACACAGGAACGAAGAAGGACACAUGCCGGCCAGCCUAAGUGUUCCAGAGCAGUAGCAAGCUACCAUGGCUCAGCGGUAACACUAGGAGACAUUUCCCGGUAAGAGAGGCUACUAAAGAUAAACAACUAGAUAGUCAGAUCCCACACAUACCAAGCAUUUCAAUCAUACACACAAUAUGCCCGAUAUGUGCAAAUACAACGAAGCAUCACAACAUGACUCUACGACACAAGUACUUUAUUUAAGGCUCAGGGAGCCAUACAUAUCAUACACACAGGUACGGGUCUCAUGACCCAACAUACAAGUCAUACAGUCAUACAAGCCAACAGCGGAAGUACUUUGUCUGGGUACAGACAACUAGUAAAAUAAAAGAGGCUUGGAAGCCUAACUAUACUACGUGGUCCAUCACAAGCUCAGGGUCACCACCUGGGUCUUUAGCCUACUCGUUGAUGUCAACGUCUACAUAGAACCCAUCAGAAGGGGUUGCAGCGUCUUCUGUAAAAAUGUAGAUUAUAGCAACAUGAGUACAAAGGUACUCAGCAAGACUUACAUCAGAUCCUACAUACAUGCAUAGUAUCAAGAAGGGUUGGUGGAGUUAUUGCAGCAAGCCAGCUUUGACUCUUGGCUAGACUAUCCUACGAUACACCAACUUGAAAUGUUUUGCGCACACGAGUCCACUACUCACCACUUCAAUACACUACCGAGGAUCCACCUCCGUCUUCCUACGGAAGAGCCAUCCUCGGCACUCACACUUAUCUUGAGGCUUUUAAUAGUUUCCAUUUACUUGUCUAUGAACUGUAUAGGCAACCAAGUAGUCCUUUACCGCGGACGCGGCUAUUCGAAUAGAUCAUGUUAACCCUGCAGGGAUGUACUUCUUCAUACACGCUCUCACCACUUAUCGUCGCUUACACGACAUGUACUCGGCAACCUUCAAGCGGAAGCCCAACGUGGGUGUCGGCCACGACCUACCUAAUCACCUAAGCUUCCAGUCCAGGUUUAUCGCCUAUUCAGGUUCCAUCCGCAGGGAGUCCGGCCGAGGUUUCCCAUACGGCCCCGAACGAUGUGAACAGGGUUCCCGAGAUACCUAACGGGUAUUCGGUACACCCGGCCACGUACCUACCGCAUCACAGCCCACCCCUACGGUCAGCGCUGUCCACGGCCUCCAGUAGGCUACAAACACCAGAAACUACUUGCAACUCCUGGACGGAGAACUAGGGUGAAUAAGAAGUCGAGAGGGUCCAUUGGUUUCGGGCCCAAUGCAUGGUAGUAGCUGAUUCUUAAAUCACACAUACAGAUCUUAGUGCUUAAGGUCGGCUUCAAUGAAACAACCCACCAUGUACUCCUACAUGGCCUCUCAUCGAUACCUUUACCAAAUCGUGUUCACCACGCCACUCUCAUUACCGACAUAAUCAUUUCACUCUAGUCCAUCACCCAGAUGAACCAGACCUGACACGACUCUAAGCAUAGCAGGCAUAGCAAGGUAGGAACAACACAUACAUAUGGCUCAAUCAACUCCUACACAUGCUAGUGGGUUUCAUCUAGUUACUGUGGCAAUGACAGGUCAUGCAGAGGAAAUGGGUUCAACUACCGUAGCACACAGCAGUUUGAAUCGCGUUGUCUUAAUGCAGUAAAAUAGAGCAGGAGCGAGAACAUGGGAUUGUAUCGAUAUGAUCAAAUGGUUGGUUGCUUGCCUGAUGGUUCGUUGCACGGAUACGAUUCCUCGUUAGGGUAAUCACGGUACUCCUCGGGAACAGAUCCUGUCGCAAAGGAUAACGAUACACAGGCAUUACCAAACAAUGUGCAACAAUAUGAUGCAUGCAUGAAACAUGGCAAUAUGAGUGUGUUGGGCUAAUGCAACUAAAGCCAGAAGUGUUUGAGCAAAUUUGAAUCAAAGAUUCAAAUUUCAAAUUCAAAUAUGGCCUUUUAAAGUGCCUUUCCUUGUUCUGAUUGAAACAUCAAGUUAACUUGUUUGAUCAUGCAUGAAAAUAGUACAGAUGGAUAGAUUGGAUUUUUCUGAUCAUUUUUCAUAUAUUAUUUGUCCAAUUUGGAGUUACAGAAUAAAAGUUAUGAAUUUUUGAAGUUUAAAUAAUAUUCUGGAAUUUCCUGAUUUAAUUAAAUCCAGAAAUAUCAUUUACUGCGUCAGCCUGACAUCACAGUGACAUCAGCAGGUCAACAGGGCUGGCUCGGGUCAAACCUGACGUGUGGGGUCCACACGUCAGUGACCAGGUGCUAAUCCCGCGUUGACCCCGGGCUGGUUAGCUUUGACUAACCCCUGGGCCCACUUGUCAGCGUCAGUAGGUGAUGGAUUAGUGGUUAAUCAACUAGGCCACGUCAGCUCGCCGGAGUUCUGGCCGGCGGCGACCAACAGUGCGGCGGCGAUAGUGGUUUUGGUCGUUUCGGCCACCAAAUGGAACGUGGCGACCACCGGAGUGAAGCUGAGGACGACCCGCGGCUCUUGGCGGAGUCCGUUGGGGUCGGGGUGGCCGGAGUCGACGCCGGCGACGACUUUGGCGGCCACCGAGGUUCGGUCGGAGGUGAACUUGGUGCUAGAGGGUUCGGUGAGGCUCGUGGAGUGGCUAGCUAGGUGCUGUGGAACGCGGUGAGCAAGAUGGACACCAUCUUGUGGCCGGAGGAUGACCGGGAGCACGUCGGCGACGAGGUCCACGGCGGUGGGUGCGGUUGAGCUCCGGGAGGUUGCUACACGGCUCGGGAGCAAGAACAGAAGGGAGGGGAAGAUGGCUAAGCUCACAGUGAGUGCGACGGAGUCCUUGGUGCGGUCGGAGAUGGACCGGAGCGACGUCGGCGUUGAAGGGGAUCUCCGGCGACGGUGAGCUCGGGCGAGGUCGGUGCGGUGGUCUCGGGCGUUGCGAGCGCUCGGGGCUCGGCUGCUCGAUGAAGUGGACAGCGGCGAAGCUCCUGGACACGGUGAGACGGCGUGGAGACGACGGGGAGCACGGCUACGACGGUGGUGCGGCGAUGGUGGCGUCGGCCAUGGCUGGGGCGUGCGAGGGGGAGGAGCUGGAGAGGAGAGGGGGUGUCUGGGGGGUUCGGGGGAGAGAGGGAGGACGAUCCACGUCGUCACCUGGCGAGGGGAGCGGCGAGGCGGCGAGCAGGUGCGUGGCGCACGCCGCGGUCGCCGUCGGGCACCUGCCUGCCUGCCUGGCCGAAGCAGCUCGCUGGAGCGGUGCUGGGCUGGGCCGGCAGGUGGGCUGGCUAGUGGGCUGCGGUGGCGCCAGGUAGGGUUUUCCCUGUUUUUUUUCUAUUUUCUGUUUUAUUUAAUAAUUCUGCAACUUUGUUGAGUUAAAUAAAAUACCUAGGCAACUCCAAAAAUCACCAAACUACUCCUGGUCCAUAGUUGGAAUAUUUCCAACAUGAAACAUUUCAGUUUGGAGAUAUUUGAGCAUUUAAAUAUUUUAUAUUAUUUCAAAUGCCCAAAUUCAAAUAUCUAUGAUUUAAUUCAAAGACCCUAUGAUGGCCUAGAAAAAUGUGCACCACUUUUGUCAGAGGUUCUGAACCAAGGCUAAAAUGAUGGACAUUUUAGAAGGGCAUUUCAGGUUCAUUGAAAAAUUAUUUUAGUAACCCUAAUUGGUUUCAGAGGGGACUGGGGGUUCUGUCAUCCCCAUUUCAAGUUUCUGAUGAAAGAAUAAACAUGAUGCAACACUCUAAUGCAUGACUAGCUAGGGUGUGACACCUGGGUUCCCGACGGCCCCCGACUGUUACUUUGUGGCGGAGCGGCAGGGCAGGUUGAGACCACCUAGGAGACAGGUGGGCCUGGCCUUGUUCGGCAUUCGCGGAUACUUAACACGCUUAACGAGAUCUUGGUAUUUGAUCUGAGUCUGGCUACUGGCCUAUACGCACUAACCAUCUACGCGGGAGUAGUUAUGGGUAUCCCGACGUCGUGGUAUCAGCCGAAGCACUUCAGACGUCAGCGACGGAGCGGCGCGCGCCGGAUUGGAACGUAAGCCUGCUCUUGUAUUAAGGGGGCUAGUUCUGCUUCCGGCCGCCCACGCAACGUGCAGGUGUGCUAUGGGCGAUGGGCCCAGACCCCUGUGCGCUUAGGUUUAGACCGGCGUGCUGGCCUCUCUAUUCUGCCUAGGUGGGGCUGCGACGUGUUGAUCUUCCGCGGCCGGGCAUGACCCAGGAAAGUGUGUCCGGCCAAAUGGGAUCAAGCGUGUUGGGUUAUGUGGUGCACCCCUGCAGGGAAGUUAAUCUAUUCGAAUAGCCGUGAUCUUCGGUAACAGGACGACUUGGAGUUGUACCUUGACCUUAUGACAACUAGAACCGGAUACUUAAUAAAACACACCCUUCCAAGUGCCAGAUACAACCGGUGGUCGCUCUACCUCAGGGAUAUGAGGAGGGGAUCGCCGGGUAGGAUUAUGCUAUGAGAUGCUAUUUGGAGAUGCUACUUGGAGAUGCUACUUGGAGGACUUCAAUCUACUCUCUUCUACAUGCUGCAAGACGGAGGCUGCCAAAAGCGUAGUCUUCGAUAGGACUAGUUAUCCCCCUCUUAUUCUGGCAUUCUGCAGUUCAGUCCACUGAUAUGGCCUCCUUACACAUAUACCCAUGCAUAUGUAGUGUAGUUCCUUGCUUGCGAGUACUUUGGAUGAGUACUCACGGUUGCUUUCUCCCCCCUUUUCCCCUUUCCUUUCUUUCUGGUUGCCGCAACCAGAUGCUGGAGUCCAGGAGCCAGACGCCACCGUCAGAACGACGACGACUACUAUCCCAGAGGUGCCUACUACUACGUGCAGCCCGCUGACGACGACCAGGAGUAGUUUAGGAGGAUCCCAGGCAGGAGGCCUGCGCCUCUUUCGAUCUGUAUCCCAGUUUGUGCUAGCCAUCUUAUGGCAACUUGUUUAACUUAUGUCUGUACUCAGAUAUUGUUGCUUCCGCUGACUCGUCUAUGAUCGAGCACUUGUAUUCGAGCCCUCGAGGCCCCUGGCUUGUAUUAUGAUGCUUGUAUGACUUAUUUUAUUUGUAGAGUUGUGUUGUGAUAUCUUCCCGUGAGUCCCUGAUCUUGAUCGUACACAUUUGCGUGCAUGAUUAGUGUACGAUUGAAUCGGGGGCGUCACAAGUUAUGGGCGAUACAAGUCAUACUGCUUACCAGCAUGUCAUACUUUGGUUCGGCGGUAUUGUGAGAUGAAGCAGCCCGGACCGACAUUAUGCGUACGCUUACGCGAGACUGGUUUCACCGUUACGAGCACUCGUGCUUAAAGGUGGCUGGCGGGUGUCUGUCUCUCUCACUUUAGCUGAAUCGAGUGUGGCUACGCCCGGUCCUUCCGAAGGUUAAAACAACACUAAUUUGACGAAGUAUCGUUGUGGUUUUGAUGCGUAGGUAAGAACGGUUCUUGCUAAGCCCGUAGCAGCCACGUAAAAUUUGCAACAACAAAGUAGAGGACAUCUAACUUGUUUUUGCAAGGCAUGUUGUGAUGUGAUAUGGUCAAGACGUGAUGCUAUAUUUUAUUGUAUGAGAUGAUCAUGUUUUGUAACCGAAGUUAUCGGCAACUGGCAGGAGCCAUAUGGUUGUCGCUUUAUUGUAUGAAAUGCAAAUGCCCUGUAAUUGCUUUACUUUAUCACUAAGCGGUAGCGAUAGUCGUAGAAGCAAUAGAUGGCGUAACGACAACGAUGCUACGAUGGAGAUCAAGGUGUCGCGCCGGUGACGAUGGUGAUCACGACGGUGCUUCGAAGAUGGAGAUCACAAGCACAAGAUGAUGAUGGCCAUAUCAUAUCACUUAUAUUGAUUGCAUGUGAUGUUUAUCCUUUAUGCAUCUUAUCUUGCUUUGAUUGACGGUAGCAUUUUAAGAUGAUCUCUCACUAAAUUAUCAAGAAGUGUUCUCCCUGAGUAUGCACCGUUGCGAAAGUUCUUCGUGCUGAGACACCACGUGAUGAUCGGGUGUGAUAGGCUCUACGUUCAAAUACAACGGGUGCAAAACAGUUGCACACGCGAAAUACUCAGGUUAAACUUGACGAGUCUAGCAUAUAACAUAUAUAGCCUCGGAACACGGAGACCGAAAGGUCGAGCGUGAAUCAUAUAGUAGAUAUGAUCAACAUAUUGAUGUUCACCGUUGAAACUACUCCAUCUCACGUGACGAUCGGACAUGGUGUAGUUGAUAUGGAUCACGUAAUCACUUAGAGGAUUAGAGGGAUGUCUAUCUAAGUGGGAGUUCUUAAGUAAUAUAAUUAAUUGAACUUAAAUUUAUCAUGAACAUAGUCCUGGUAGUAUUUUGCAAAUUAUGUUAUAGAUCAAUAGCUCGCGUUGUUGCUUUCAUAUGUUUAUUUUGAUAUGUUCCUAGAGAAAAUUGUGUUGAAAGAUGUUAGUAGCAAUGAUGCGGAUUGGAUCCCUGAUCUGAGGUUUAUCCUCAUUGCUGCACAGAAGAAUUAUGUCCUUGAUGCACCGCUAGGUGACAAACCUAUUGCAGGAGCAGAUGCAGACAUUAUGAACGUUUGGCUAGCUCAAUAUGAUGACUACUUGAUAGUUUAGUGCACCAUGCUUAACGGCUUAGAAUCGGGACUUCAAAGACAUUUUGAACGUCAUGGACCAUAUGAGAUGUUCCAGGAAUUGAAAUUAAUAUUUCAAGCAAAUACCCGAGUUGAGAGAUAUGAAGUCUCCAACAAGUUCUAUAGCUAAAAGAUGGAGGAGAAUCGCUCAACUAGUGAGCAUGUGCUCAGAUUGUCUGGGUACUUCAAUCGCUUGAAUCAAGUGGGAGUUAAUCUUCCAGAUAAGAUAGUGAUUGACAGAAUUCUCUAGUCACCAUCACUAAGUUACUAGAACUUCGUGAUGAACUAUAGUAUGCAAGGGAUGACGAAAACGAUUCUCGAGCUCUUCGUGAUGUUGAAAUCGACGAAGGUAGAAAUCAAGAAAGAGCAUCAAGUGUUGAUGAUUGACAAGACCACUAGUUUCAAGAAAAGGGAAAAGGGAAAGAAAGAGAAACUUCAAGUAGAAUGACAAACAAGUUGUCACUCCCGUGAAGAAGACCAAAGCUGGACCAAAGCCUGAAACUGAGUGCUUACACUGCAAAGGAAAUGGUCACUGGAAGCAGAAAUGCCCUGAACAUUUGGUGGAUAAGAAGGAUGGCAAAGUGAACAAGGGUAUAUUUGAUAUACAGGUUAUUGAUAUGUGCCUUACUAGUGUUUAUAGUAACCCCUGAGUAUUUGAUACUUGUUCGGUUGCUAAGAUUAGUAACUCGAAACAGGAGUUACAGAAUAAACAGAGACUAGUUGAAGGGGAAGUGACGAUGAGUGUUGGAAGUAGUUCCAAGAUUGAUAUGAUCAUCACCGCACACUCCCUAAACUUUCGGGAUAAGUGUUAAACCUAAAUAAAUGUUAUUUAGCUUUUGCGUUGAGCAUGAAUAUGAUUUGAUCAUGAUUAUUGCAAUACGGUUAUUCAUUUAAAGUCAGAGAAUAAUUGUUGUUCUGUUUACAUGAAUAAAACCUUUAAUGGUCAUACACCCAAUGAAAAUAGUUUGUUGGAUCUCGAUCGUAGUGAUACACAUAUUCAUAAUAUUGAUGCCAAAAGAUGCAAAGUUAAUAAUGAUAGUGCAACUUAUUUGUGGCACUGCCGUUUGGGUCAUAUCGGUGUAAAGCGCAUGAAGAAACUCCAUAAAGAUAGAUUUCCGGAAUUAUUUGGUUAUGAAUCAUUUGAUGCUUGCGAACCGUGCCUUUUGGGCAAGAUGACUAAAAACUCCGUUCUCCGGAACAAUAGGACAAGGAGGGGGCGGCGCCCCCCCUUUCCUUUCCCCCCUCUCCUCCUUCCCCCCAAGUCCUAGUCCAACUAGGGAAAGGGGGGAGUCCUACUCCCGGUGGGAGUAGGACUCCUCCGGCGCGCCUCCUCCUAGGGCCGGCCGCACCCCCCUUGCUCCUUUAUAUACGGGGGCAGGGGGCACCCCAUAACACACAAGUUGAUCUACGUGAUCGUUCCUUAGCCGUGUGCGGUGCCCCCCUCCACCAUAUUCCACCUCGGUCAUAUCGUCGCGGAGUUUAGGCGAAGCCCUGCGCCGCUAGAACAUCAUCAUCGUCACCAUGCCAUCGUGCUGACGGAACUCAUCCCCGACACUUUGCUGGAUCGGAGUCCGGGGAUCGUCAUCGAGCUGAACGUGUGCUGAACUCGGAGGUGCCGUACGUUCGGUACUUGGAUCGGUCGGAUCGUGAAGACGUACGACUACAUUAACCGCGUUGUCAUAACGCUUCCGCUUACGGUCUACGAGGGUACGUGGACAAUACUCUCCCCUCUCGUUGCUAUGCAUCACCAUGAUCUUGCGUGUGCGUAGGAAAUUUUUUGAAAUUACUACGUUCCCUAACACGAUCCGCAUCCCUAAUCCGAUCACCGCACAGUAUAUCUCUGGCCCACGAGCUUGGAUGUAGUCGAGGGAGUCUGAGAUCAAACCAAGCACAAGCUUCGCUCCAGAAACGUCGUGCAUGGGAGCAUUGUAUUAACGCAUGCAUGAGAUCCUCCUCUCUUGCCAUGCACACUUUACAGGUGUCAAGAACUGACAUGUGGCGGUGCUUGAGGGUACAUUCAUCAGGUAGAAUCCCCCUCAAUACCCUCCACCAAAACACCCGUACCUUUGGGAUCACUUUGAGUUUCCACAAGGCUGUCCACAUCUGUUUAUCAUCCGUUGAAGCACCUGUAGUCGUCCCUUCUUCUAGAGCUAGACGCUCAUUUUGAGUCACUAGUACGCCGACUUAACAGUGUAGUUACCUGAUCGUUCAAAGGCCCAAGCAAAAAAAUCAUGUCCUCCUCCCCUCCUGAUUGGUAUAUUGAGAAUAGCAUCUGCAUCUGGGGCGAUAAAAGUUGUCCUUAUAAGAUCCUGUUUCCAUGACCAGUUCCCGGUGUCAAUGAGAUCCGAGACUUUCUGAAUAUUAGUGUUGGGAGGUCUGAAUAAAGGUUUCAUGGAAAUAGUUCCAGGAAUCCACUUGUCCAUCCAGGCAUCAAUAGAGCUCCCGUCUCCCACCCUCUUAACAAGUCCCGCCUGUAAAGCUUUCCUGCCAGCAAUGAUAGCUCGCCAAGUAGCAGAUGCUGAUUUGGGAACAGUAGCAUGCAAAAAAUCUGUGUCAGGAAAAUAGCGGCCUUUCAUUACCCUUGCGCACAGAGAAUUAGGGUUCGUCAUAAACCGCCACCCAUGCUUCCCGAGUAGCGCAAUGUUAAACUGUUGGGGGUCACGAAACCCCAUACCUCCUUGGCACUUUGGUGUAGCCAAAUUCUUCCAGGACACCCAAUGUAACGCAUUUUUGUCGAUGGAACUGCUCCAAAAGAACUUAGCCAUUGGUGACGUCAAACUCUUGCACACCUUUUUUGUUAAUAGGAAUGUGCUCAUAGAGUACGUUGGAAUGGCCUGUACAACUGAUUUCAACAAAGUUUCCCUACCUGCACAUGCGAGCAGUUUUUCAGACCAUCCCUGCAUCUUCCCACAAGCUCUCUCCCCGAUGUGAUCGAAAGUUCCACUUGUGAUGCGUCCGAUCGCAGUGGGUAGCCCCAGGUACCGCUCGCUAAAAGCCUCCACAUCAAUAUUGAGGACCGCUUUGAGCUGCUGUUUGAGCUGGGCCGGUGUGUUGGAGCUGAAGUAUACUGCACUCUUAGCACGAUUGACACACUGACUCGAAGCAUCACCAUAAACCCUCAGGAUAUCAUUCAGUCUUGCUGCACUUUGGGUGUUUCCACUAAUAAAGAUCAGACUGUCGUCUGCGAAAAGCAAAUGAGUUACCCAAGGCGAUCUGUAGCUUACUCUGAUCCCUCUGUCAAUAUAUCCAUGGUUAUAGUGCUUCAACAGAGAGGAGAAACCCUCCGCGCACGGCAGAAAAAGGAAGGGUGAGGCUGGGUCACCCUGUCUCGACCCACGCGAGGGUGAAAAGAAUGGCAAUAGCUCACCAUUAACUCGGACUGAGAAGCGCACCGAGGACACCGUACUGCUUCUACCUCACGCAGCUGCCAUGCACACGGGCUUCAGCUCCGGCGUCUGGUACAGCACCCACGCUUAUGCGUACGACGCCGGAGCUGGCCGCCCCCUCCACACCUGCUACGGCUGCGGUGGUGCUGGUGCGUGCUCCGUCGCCAACGGUGGCACGGCCCGCUCUGCUUCCACGCCCGACAGGACCUUGACCCACGAGGCUUCCGCCGUACACCACGAGCCGUCGAUCACCAUCCGAACCGGUAGCCGUCUCCUCAUCCAUGGCGACGCACUUCACGGGUCCGGUGUGUCAAGCCAGCACGCUUACACAUACGUGCUCCGUCCCGUCACGACGCCAAACGCAGAGGGUCCGGUCGGCCAAGCCGCUCACGACGGCGUUGCCGGGCACCACCAGGCACAUCACCGCCAUCUUGUGGCCCUUGAGCACACAACCAUAUCUCGACUCGCGUCGACCCAGUACUACUCCAUCUGUUCGGAAAUACUUGUCAUCGAAAUGAAUGCAUCUAGAUGUAUUUUAAUUCUAGAUACAUCAAUUUUCAUCCAUUUAUGCGACAAGUAUUUCCGGACGGAGGGUGUAGGUGAGAAGAAUGGAGAUUUUUCCGCUCCUUGUCGCGUAGCGCGUACAGCCCGCGUUUUAGCCCCUGAGAAAAGAAAAGUCUGGAUAAACGGAUAAUAAGAUAGACCCACGGCCAGGGGGGGCCGCUCGCCGGAGGCUGUUGCUCCUCCACGACGCCAGCGGCUACCUACUUACCUCCAUGGCCGCCGGCGCCGCGGCCGCCGUACACCACCACCAUCCUAUCGCGGCUUCGCUCCGCCCUGCUUCGAGGCGGCUCAGCAGCAGCAGCAGCGCCAGCAGCUCGCCGCCCCAUCCCGCGGCCUUCCUCUGCUGCUCCGGCGCCAAGACGCCGAGCAUCCAGCUCCAGGCUCCCCGCGUUGCGUUCAACCCCUCCGGCAACUUCGACCUCUCCCUCUCCGACCAAGACGGUGAGCUCUACCAACAUUAGCAUUAGCAGCCACUUCACUGAAACCCAGUUAAAAUACCACUCCAAAGUCCAAACUCUCCCUGGGACGAUUAGUUUCACGGCGCAACAUUAACAGACGGCAUUAUCUUCUUCUUUUUGAGCGAAACACAUGACCAGAUCUCAACAUAUGCCACUAUCGGAACCAUGAUUUUGGUUCCUGUCCUCAGUUUAUUUGUGCAAAGUCGUUGUGGCAGUUGAUUUUGGUAUUCAGUAGUUCUGGAGAGGUACAGUACAGCAUAGCAUACACCAAUUCUGCAUUGGUCAAGGCCUACAAUUUUGCCACCCACACACAACUGGUUUUAUUUUCCAACCAACAUGAUGGUGUUAAACGACAGGGAAUGUGCCCUGGAAAUGCUCAAGUACCUACAAACUGCUUCUCAUGUAUGGCACCCUGUUAUGCCCUGUUCAGCUGCUCUAAUACCUUCUUCAACGGUGAAGGAUUUCAUUGUCGUAUGUCAGUCAGAUUAUAAAGUCCUCACAUAAUAGUGUGUGCGUGGCGUGGAAUUCGUAUCGUUGUUUUCCUUGAGUGAGCUCAUAUAUUUUGCUUUCAAUUGAUAUCCUUUCAUGGCUUUCUUAGAUGCACCACAAGUUGAGCCUCCUCCACCACCUACCGAAGGGCGCAUCGAGAUUGUUAUCAACAAGGACAUCAUCCGAACACUUGACCUAUCGCCCGUCCAAGAAGCCCUCGGCAACCCGAAUUCCUUAACGACAGGUAGUCCUCGGACAUACCACGAACGUCAUGUGACUGCAUUUUGCAUCGGGAGGCUUUAACUGACCAGAAUCUUAUGCACAUUAUUCAGCUCAAUCAAGAAAUCUGUUGGACCGAACCGUUGGUUUCACAAUAAACUACGAGAGAGAGGAUCCAUACGACACGAGGGAACUGUCGGAGUUUCCAGAUGUAAGGCUAUGGUUUGUGAGGCUUGACGCUUCCUACCCCUGGUUUCCGGUGGUGCUUGACUGGAGAGCCGGUGAGCUCGCCAGGUACGCUGCAAUGCUGGUCCCUCACCAGGUAACGCUAUUUUUCUUAAAUAAUACAUUUUUCAAUUAAUUUUCAUAAAUAUUACGCUGGAUAAAACAAUUUCAAAAAUAAUACACCGUCGGCCCGCUGCUGGCCGACUGCGCCUAGUCGGCCCACAGCAGGCCGAUUGGAUUCCAGUCGGCCUACAGCUGGCUGACUGGCCCCUGUCGGCUCAUUGUGGGCUGAUUGCGCCCAGUGGGCUAAUUGUUUUUGCAAAAAAAGUAGGCAUAAAAAUAUAUGUUUAAAAAAAUGUUAAUCAUGUGAUUAGAAAAUGUUAAACGUGUAUAAAAAAUGUUCCUGAUGUAUACAAAAAAUUACAAUAUAUAUGCAAAAAAGUUGACAUAAAAAUAUGUUUUAAAAAGUGUUAAGCAUGUAUUUAAAAAUUGUUAAAUGUGUGUGUAAAAAUGUUCCUUAUUUAUACAAAAAAUAUAGAAUGUGUAUGAAAAAAAGUUGACACCAAAAAAAUAUGUUUGAAAAGUUGACAUUUUUUCAAAUACAUGAUUAAAAAUUGUUAAAUGUGUGUAUAAAAAAUGUUCCUUAUCUAUACAAAAAAUAUAGAAUGUGUAUGAAAAAAUGUUGACACCAAAAAAAUAUGUUUGAAAAAAAUGUUCUAGUUCCAUACAAAAAGAGGAACCAAUCAUACUUAGGUCCGUGAUGCUUCCAUACCGGAUCCGGAGCUGGAACAUUUUUUUAUACACGUUUAACCUUUCAUUCCAAUACAUGAAACAUUUUUGUGUACUCGUUGAACAUUUUUUCAAAUACAUGAUUAACAUUUUUUUCAUAUACAUUCUAUAUUUUUUGUAUAGAUAAGGAACAUUUUUAUACACACAUUUAACAAUUUUUAAAUAUAUGAUUAACACUUUUUAAAACAUAUUUUUUAGUCAGCUUUUUUGCAUAUAUAUUGUACAUUUUUUGUAUACAUCAGGAACAUUUUCUUAUACAUGUUUAAUAUUUUUUAAUUACAUGAUUAACAUUUUUUUAAACAUAUAUUUUUUAUGCCUACGUUUUUUGCAAAAACAAUUAGCCCACAGCGAGUCAAUUAGCUCCAGUCGGCUCACAGUGGGCCGACAGGACCCAAUCAGCCCACAGUGGGCCGACAAGGGCCAGUCGGCCAGCUGUAGGCUGAUUGGAAUCCAAUCGGCCUGCUGUGGGCCGACUAGGCCCAGUCGGCCUGCAGCGGGCCGACGGUGUAUUAUUUUUUUAAAAAAAUUACCCAGCAUAAUAUUUAUGAAAAUUAAUAAAAAAAAUGUAUUAUUUAAAAAAAAUUAGCCCAGGUAACCAUAGAAACCAUUUAUCUGAAAUCAGCACGUGUGUCCAUAAAAAAAAGUGAAAUCAGCACGUGUGGUCUCACCCUACAAAGUGCAGACAUAUAUACACUUUCGUAUCGUCGUGUUCAAAGUUAAUGAAAUUUAUGAACUACUACUGCAGAUGAGUAUGCGUCAUGGCGUGGUCUUCAACCCGGAGGCAUUGGAGCUGUUUGGGAUGAAGAAAGUUUUCCUCGUCUACUCGUGGCUGAAGCAGCAGAACCAUGCCAAGCCCAGGUUGAAGACGGGCGACAUGGCCAAGAUGCUCGGUUUUGGCAUUGGGGAUGAGUUGUUUGAUUUGAUCGAGAAGUAUCCUAUUGGUGAACUCUAGAUCUUCAUGCUGAAACAGUUGGUGAAGAGUAGAUAUCAUCCAGUUACUUACUGGUGCUACACAUAGUGUAUACCUGCCGUUCUUGCAUACAGGACAUGAAUGAAUCAUGAUGUAUAAGAAGGUAGUCACGCAAGGGAUCAUAUUUUGAGCGUAAAGCCUAGAGAAUUUUCCCGGGCAAUGCAGCACCAGAUGAUAAUCACAUGCGGGUUAUAGCCCUUUUUGUCUUUUAUGAAAUGCGCUCUUUUAAAAGGGCGCCAAAUCAUCAUUAAGGAAAAGCAGAAACAACCAAAGCAUCAUUUGGUCUUACAGCUAAAAGGAUUUGCUCUGUGCAUGGAGUGAAUGUGAUGAAACACUAGCUGCAGGGCUGGAUGCAAAUGCCUAGCUUGUAAGGCCGACUAAGAAUAAGGCUGAAUGCACAUAUAUUCUGCCUUCAAAUGCAUGGACUUAAUUUUCCCUUUUGAGGAUUGAAAUGCAUGAACUUCACAUGAAGCAGCCAAGUUCUCACCUCACCUUUUGUAAUCUUUCUCAGUAAAUACAGUUGCUUGAUUAAUCAUGGCUCCGUGUGUUAGCUCGUGACACAAGUUUGAUUGAUUUCAGUUCCUAAUGCCAGCUGAACUAACAAGCCAAGGAUUGACUUGGAUCAUUUGACAAUUUUUUUUUUGCCCGCGGGCAUGCUAAUCUGCAUCUCACCCUGCAUAAUAUAAAGAUCACCGGAAUCAGAUCUAAUACCUUUCUUUGACCGGUCACACACUCUAGCUAGGGUUCUUCUACGCAGGUUGUUUGCAUAGUUUUCCUUUUUUUUUUUGAGAAACAACAUUGCACGCACACGGUCACACCACCAUACACACACACACUCAAACAAAUGCCUACUGAAGGCCCGAUCGAAGUUGUGGAGUUUAAAAUUGAUGGAAUCGCCACAUGUGUCUAGUGUAGGGUUAAAAAACGCUCUUAUAUUAUGAGACGGAGGGAGUAGUAUUUAUUUAUGAGUUAUAUGACUAAAUGAUAUGAAAAACAGAUCUUAAGGAUUUUUCAAACCACAUUUAACAAGAGAUGUUCCAUUCGGUUCAAGCAUUUUAACAGGAGUGAUUUGUUUUUUUAUCUUUGUGGUGCAACCGACUUGGGUCAACUUAAGUAAUCCUAGUCAAAUAUUCGGGGUGGGCCCCGCCUGUCAUCGUGCAAUGUUACCACCGCCGUCUCCGUCUCCCUCUUUCUCCCGUCAUACCUCCGCUAUAAAUACCACUCACUUAGAAUAAUGAGCUCGACCGCCGACAGAAGCAGCUCGCGGUCUGCUCUUAGUCUACUCCUCGUCGUCGUCGUCGACCGGCGCCACGGCAGCAGCAGCAGCCAGCGUCCGACGGGAGGCCGACAUUUCCUCUUCGCGCGGCCCGAAUCCAAUCCGUAAGUCGAAAUCUGUACUUGCUCUCGAAUCCCCACCCAUCUCCUACAGUCCUACAGUACUUCCCUGCUGCGGUGCUGCCAAUGCCCGCCGCCAGUCGUCACCGUUCCCGCCGUUUCUUGGGGUCUCAUUGAGGAAUCCGAGGGAGAGCCGCGUGCCGGUUGUGGAUUGAUCCUCCGGUAAUGGCGGCUGUGUAGUGUGUGCUGAUGUUGCCGCUGUGCUGAUAUUGCAUGCUCGUCCUCGAGGUGUUCGAUGGAUUGUGCGCAGGGUGUCGGUCCGGCUGGUCUCGUUCCGGUCCUAACACGUUUCAUUCCGUUCACCGUCGGUUGCUGAAAAUGUGCACGAAAUGCAUAAUAAUACUGAUUUCCUGUCGAUGCAUACUUCUCCGUCUGCUUCUCUAGUUGGCAUUCAUGCUUCCUUUCAUAGACUUUCUGGCUGUAGCUUGGUUGUCGUAAUCCUGUCGCAGCUUCUCUCUGGUUAAAAAAUUGUGCUCAGGUUGUUUGGUUGAUUGCCGUUCCCAGGCAUUGUGUCCUCUUGCAGGAAGCACCCCAUCUUAAGCAUCGUAUAUAUAGUUCUAUGUUCUGUUAUGUUCGUUUUUCCUUUUGCUGUCUGAUUGACAAUUUGUCACCUGCGGCUUUUGUUCUCUCUCUGCAUAGCAAAAGUGUGCGCAGACUGGAAUCUGUUGAGAGUAGUAUGGCCACGCCAAAUGCUUUGGCUUUUACUUAAGGACCACAUUGCUUCUCGACUUUCUUGGAUGCUUGCCUUGCCAGCCGAACCUUGGAUCUAUAUCUUCCCAGUAGUAGUAUAAAUGGGGCGCAUACCAGAAUUGACAUUUCCUUCAUCGCUUCAAUUGGAUCUAUGUCGCAAAGUUUCUUUUCUUUGCAAUAUUCAAUCCAUUUUUUUAAUUACUGCAAUUGCUUCCCUAAAUUGUCAUUUGCCUUUUUGUGUCCUUUUCCUUUCAACGUUUUGACCGAGCCUUUCAAAUGUUGGUAGUCUUUCACAUGGAAUAUGUUACUUUAGGGAAUACAAGACUUAUGCAUUGGUAUGACGGUAACAUCUGUUAUAUGGUCCUUUUUUUACAGGGGGUUUUCAGCACAUAAUAAGUUGCUAACAUGCAGACAAGCGGCCAUUAGCCUUUGAACCAUUUGAGGCACAAUGGAGAUAGCUUUUCUCACAUUGUUGGUUCUCUCUCUGCUCCUGUUCCCUAGUGGCAUCUGCAAGAGUUUAGCUGCAGGGCCUCCAGUUGUGAAUAUUGGCUCUAUUCUUCAAUUUAACUCCACCACUGGAGGUGUUGCGGAGGUUGCCAUCCGUGCAGCCUUGGAAGAUAUCAACUCUGAUCCAACAGUUCUAAAUGGAACUACACUAAAGGUUAAAAUAAAGGAUACAAAUUGCUUUGAUGGUUUCCUUGGCAUGGUUCAAGGUAGGCUAGCUUUAACGUCACUCAUUCAUCGCAUCAUUAAAAUAAUUUUUGGUUCAUGGAGUUAUGAAAAUGACACCGUAUUCCUUGUAUCAGGUUUGCAGUUCAUGGAGACUGAUGUUAUUGCAAUCGUUGGCCCCCAGUGCUCCACAAUUUCUCAUAUCAUUUCAUAUGCAGCAAAUGAGCUCCGAGUCCCUUUGAUGUCCUUUGCUUCUGAUGCAACUCUUUCAACAAUACAGUUCCCAUUCUUUGUCAGAACUGGCUCCAGUGAUCUCUAUCAAAUGGCGGCUGUGGCAGCACUUGUUGACUAUAACCACUGGAAGAUAGUGACUGCCAUAUACAUUGAUAAUGAUUAUGGUAGAAAUGGAAUUAUUGCUUUGGAUGAUGCACUCACUGCAAAGCGUUGCAAAAUCUCCUACAAGGUGAGUUUUCCUUCCAAUGCUAAAAGGAGUGAGCUCAUAAAUUUGUUGGUUGGUGUCAGUUACAUGGAGUCUCGCGUUAUCAUUCUCCAUACUGGAGCUGAACAUGGACUCAAGUUUUUCUCCAUGGCAAAUCAACUGAACAUGAUGGGCAACGGCUAUGUGUGGAUUGCAACUGACUGGCUGUCUGCAUAUCUUGAUGCUAAUUCAUCAGUUCCUGCUGACAUUAUAUCUGGCAUGCAAGGUGUUCUUACUUUACGGCCACAUAUCCCCAACUCAAAGAUGAAGAGUAAUUUGAUCUCCAAGUGGAGCAGGCAAAGUCAUAAGUACAACCAUAGUGAUCUUCGUGUAAAUACUUAUGGUUUUUAUGUUUAUGAUAGUGUCUGGGCACUAGCUCGGGCUCUUGAUGCCUUCUUUGGUGAUGGUGGUAGGAUUUCCUUUUCAAAUGACUCAAAGUUGCACCAUGAAGCUGGGGAAACUCUUCACCUUGAAGCAAUGAGCAUUUUUGACAUGGGAAAUAAAUUAUUGGAGAAUAUCAGAAAGGUAAACUUCACUGGGGCAUCUGGGCAAGUGCAAUUCGAUGCUUCAGGUGACCUCAUUCAUCCUGCAUAUGACAUUAUAAACCUCAUCGGAAAUGGCAUGCGGACCGUUGGUUUUUGGUCAAAUUAUUCUGGCUUGUUGUCGACCAUCUCUCCAGAGGCUCUAUAUUCAAAGCCUCCUAAUACUUCUCUAGCCAAUCAGAAUCUCUAUGAUGUUAUUUGGCCUGGGGAGACUGCACAGAGGCCUCGAGGGUGGGUUUUCCCUUCUAAUGCCAAGGAGUUAAAAAUUGGUGUUCCCAACAGAUUUAGCUUCAAAGAGUUCGUCACGGAAGACAAUGCUACUGGGUCAAUUAAUGGUUAUUGCAUCGAUGUCUUUACUCAGGCAUUGUCCUUGCUUCCUUAUCCUGUUAGCUACAAGCUCAUACCUUUUGGGAGUGGUACUGAAAAUCCUAGUUAUGACAAACUCAUACAGAUGGUUGAAUCAAAUGUAAGUAUGAACGCCACUUUUCUUCUCCUAACCAUUUAUCAUACUGUACUGACCAGGGGCAUCUUAUCCUGCAGGAGUUUGAUGCAGCUAUAGGGGAUAUUGCAAUUACAAUGAGCCGGACAGUAGCUAUAGAUUUCACCCAGCCAUUCAUUGAAACAGGCUUGGUUAUCUUGGCUCCAGUUAAAAAGCAUAUAAAAACAUCCUGGGCAUUCUUGCAGCCAUUUACUUUGGAGAUGUGGUGUGUUACAGGGUUGUUCUUUCUUAUUGUGGGUGUGGUUGUUUGGGUUCUUGAACAUCGAAUCAAUGAGGAUUUCCGGGGUCCACCAAGUCAACAAAUAAUAACUAUUUUCUGGUAAGAAGCUGAUGUGCACCUUUUGUAUCGUCUUCCUGUAUGUCAGUUCUGUUUUCGUAGAAAUGUGAAGGUGCAUACAGACAAACCUUAGAACAGAUGCCUGUUAACAUACCACGUGAACUACUCCCUCCGUCCGGAAAUACUUGUCGGAGAAAUGGAUGUAUCUAGACAUAUGUUAGUUCUAGAUACAUCCAUUUUUAUCGAUUUCUUCGACAAGUAAUUCCGAACGGAGGGAGUAUUAUCUUGUGGUGGGAUGUAUAUAUGCACAGUAUGAACCAAGAACUCUACCUAUAGACCUGUGUUGCUAAGUGGGUCCUACUUAGCUUUUUUCGAAAAGGAGGUCCUACUUAGCUAUAUAUUCGCUUUAUGAUAUUAUAAUGAUUUUCUUCUGUCUUUGCACUUUGCCACAUGUAUCGCCAAAUGCUCUUAUAGGCGUGAUUUCUUGCUCUCAAAUGUGUGAUUAUAAUCUCAAUUUUGAUUGCCUGUAGGUUCAGCUUUUCGACUCUGUUCUUCUCCCACAGUGAGUAAACUAACCUUCUCUAUUAUGUGUUUGUUGUUUUUGCUAUAAGUAAUAUUUUUUUCUGGCGCACGACUCACGAUUUCAUCUGUAUCUGCUUGCAGGAGAAGAUAUUAGGAGUACCUUAGGGCGUGGUGUCCUGAUCAUAUGGCUAUUUGUUGUUUUGAUCAUUGUAUCCAGCUAUACCGCGAGUCUUACUUCCAUCCUGACCGUGCAACAACUUGAUACUUCUAUAAAAGGAAUCGAUGACCUGAAAAGUAGUGAUGAUCCUGUUGGUUUUCAAGUUGGUUCGUUUGCACAAGACUACAUGGUUAAUGAACUGAACAUCUCACGGUCAAGGCUACGGGCUCUUGGUUCCCCACAAGAAUACGCUGAUGCCCUGCAGCUAGGCCCUAAGAAAGGAGGUGUUAUGGCUAUUGUCGACGAGCGCCCCUAUGUUGAGCUGUUUUUGUCAACUUACUGCAAGAUUGCUGUAGCUGGCUCAGAUUUCACCAGCAGAGGAUGGGGCUUUGUAAGUACAUUUAAACUAUAUUCUUUAAUACAGGUUAGAAUAUGAGAACACCAUAUUUUGGUGUUAAAAUCCUGGAAUAACAGCUUUAAUUUUGAAUAGUCGUGUGUACUCUCUAGUAUCAUGCAACUUUCCUUGCACUUGUUUGCGGGUGCAAUUCUAAAAUCUACAUCUACUUUGUUUCACAAAUCAAAAUGUAGCACCUUACAAAGUUCAUUCUACCAGGCAUUUCCAAGGGACUCCCCUUUGCAAGUAGACCUGUCCACCGCAAUCCUGUCAUUGUCAGAGAAUGGGGAGCUGCAGCGGAUCCGUGACAAGUGGGUCAAGACAAGCGAUUGCACAACUGACAACAGCGAGUUUGUUGACUCGGACCAGCUCCGUCUUGAGAGUUUUUUUGGCCUGUUCCUAAUCUGUGGUGUGGCAUGUGUCCUUGCGCUGCUCAUCUAUUUUGGUAUCAUGCUACGCAAAUACCUGAAACAUCAUCCGAGGAGGAGCCUCAGAAGAUUCAUUUCGUUCGUCCAUAGCAAGGAGCCACCAAAGAACAUGGAGAGGCGAUCCAUGAGCCUGCUUAGAAGCUCGACACCAACAACGCCAAUGAGCAGCCUUACUGCCCUUGACAUAGAAAGGCUGGCCAGGCCAGUUAGAAAUGACAGUGCUAUUGACAUGGAAAGCUAGUUCAUCUGUACAAAGCUAGUGCAUGGUAUUUGGCAAGUCAGGUGGUCAACUGUUCUGUGUGAAACAACACUGGGGUCAACUAACCUGUGUAUAGAGGGGGUUCAAAAUUACUUCUUAAGUACUAAAGUUUAAGAAAUAAGAGAAGGAAGGAUCAGUUUUUUCUUUUCAUGACUGUAUUUUGGGGGAUAUUGUGCCGCUUCAGACUUGGCAUUUGGUUGUGUGGUCUGUUCAUUUGUUUGAUUGGGCGUAGUGUGGAAGUCAGUAUUGUGUGGACUGAGUCUGCAGGCUGCAGCUAGUACUGUUUGCCAUGUGGCGGUGCCUGUAGAAUGUCUCUAGAAAUGUAGUACUAAACUUUGAUGUUCAUUCAUAAAUUAAUUGAGAUGGAGCUGCACAAAAAAUGAGUUACUGUAGUUCUUUUUUGCUCUGUUUUGUCUGAGUUUUAUUCAGGGCAACUUUGAAGCUUAUCUUAGGGUGGUCACUAGAAAAAUGUGUUAGCACCUUCCACAGCUCUAAAGAAGAUAAUGAAAGAGAACAUAGGAAGAAAUAGUCAUGAUCUUAUCAGGAAAGUGAAGAAAAACACGGACACUGUAUUUUUAUUUCUCUAACUCUUUGCCUACACAAAAUUAUUUAUGGAUUAGCUCCAAUUGAUGACUGCAUCGAUCCCAAGCUAGCUACUUGUUUCUCUCAAGUCAUAAGGAACACCAAGGCACUGGUCUCAAAAGAGGAAUUUCCUGCAGGUUUGUAAUUCAUCAGUUUUGGUUCUUGCAUGCACCUCUGAGAAAUAAACUGCAGCUAUCAUAAAAAGAUAAUAAUUCUCAGUAAAUAAUUCUUGCAGGGAUGCUUGAGUGGUAGGCAGAUAAUAAUUCUGCCAGGGAUGCUGCAACUUCCUGGGAGCAAGUGAUUAGUGGUACUGGGUUUGUCUAUUCUAGUGAUACUGGCAGUGAUACUGGGUUUGCUUUUCUGAUUUCUUCCAAAUUAAUAGUUAUGCCUACAUUGGGAGUGCCAACUCUGCUGUAACUUUUCUGUGAGGCAUAACAACUGGAUUCUCGUUGAUAUAGGGGAAAGCAGAAACUAGUGUCGAUGCCUUUUUAUUUAAUUUAGUCAUAAUGAUUGACUUAACAUAUUGUGUUAUUAGAGCUGUAUAGGGGAUUCUGUAUUUCUCUUGAAAACAAAAAAGCAACAAUAGAAAGAGUUUCUCUACAUGAUGGAUCAAAUUUAUUUCCUAAGGAAAUACAUAAUGUAUAUAUAUAUAUAUAUAUAUAUAUAUAUAUAUAUAUAUAUAUAUAUAUAUAUAUAUUUCUCAUUCUCUUCGGUACCUGUUUUUUUUAGGAAAAACAGUAGGCGAAUUUCCUACUGCAAAUUAUUAAAUAGGAAGGGUUUUUGUACGCAAUGGAGCGAUUUUUCCCUAAGAACAAUAAAUAAUGUAUAUAUAUUUCUCAUCCUGCUCAAUACAUGUCCUUUUUGAGGAAAAACAGUAGGUGAAUUGCCUACUGUAAAUAUUUUGCCUUCUGUAAAUAUUUUAAAUUAUAGAAGUAUGUCAUAAGUAAGGCUAGCAAAAAGAAAAGAAAAGCAAGUGCUAAAGAGCUACAAGAAGUUAGUCACCCCGGUUCUGAAGCUGGCAUAAGAAGCCCUGUUAGCUCUGUGAAGGAUCAGCUCAAACUCAUCCUUACAAAUCUUUCUGCAUCUAUAUAGGCUAGGCAAUCUGUCCAUAAAUUUGGUAACUUUGAAGAGAAAUAUUUGGGGCUGCCUACGCCUGACAGCCGUAUGUCAUGAGGUAAGUUUCAGAAUUUGCAGUCGAGGCCUCUGAAAAGAAUUAUUGCUUGGGGAGACACCCUCUCUCUUGCUGGCAAGGAAACUAUGAUUAAAGUUGUUGAACAAGCUAUCACAACUUAUAUCAUGGGUGUAUUUAAACUCCCAUUGUCAGUGUGAUGAUCUAAACAUGAUGGUUCGGAAUUUCUGGUGGGGCUCCUCCAAAGGCAAGCAGAAAAUGCACUGGAUGGCUUGGCCGAAAAUCUUGGCACGUAAAAUGAAGGGUGGUUUGGUUUUCAGGGACUUCCAUCUCUUCAACUAAGCCUUCUCGCAUGGUAGGACUGUCGUUUUCUUAAUAAUCCUAAUAGCUUGUGUGUGCAAGUACUAAUGGCUUGUUAUUAUAUCCAGACGACCACCUCGAAGAUACGGUGUUUUCGGGGAACGCCUCCCCUACUUGGCAGGCCAUUCAAUAUGCCCUUGAGCUCCUGAAGAAAGGCAUUGUGUGACGCGUCGGUGAUAGGCAAAAAAACAGAAUUUGGCAGGAUCCUUGACUGCCUAGGGAGCCAAUGCGCCAACCCAUCUCACAGCAAGGUAUUUGCCGUCUCAAGAGAGUGGCGGAACUCCUGGACGAGUCUGGCGCAUGGCACCUGGAUCUUCUUCGACGCCACUUCCUCCUGGUGGACGUUGACAUCAUCGCCAACAUUCGCACAUCACCCCGUAUCACCGACGACAUCAUCGCCUGGGCACGGAGAAGAAUAGUAUCUUCACUAUUCAUUCCGCCAAUCGCUUUGCCAUGGACGAGUGCGAGCGUCCAUCGGCAACCGCCACAAGCAGGGCACUAGAUGGUCGUCGCACCUUCUGAAAUAUCAUAGGAGGGUGCCCUGCUCCCUCGGAGUACGUGUCUAUGCUUGGAGUGAGGCUUGUUUCCAACUCUCUGGCUACUUGGAAAAAUAAAAAAAAUUCUCGCCACCUCGAAUAUACAGACGUGUGUCCUAUUUGUGGUGUGGAACACGAGGACAAUUUUCAUGCAAUGUGUAGGUGCUCCCUGGGGAAGAAUCUCUGGCAUGCCAUGGCCUUGGACUGGUCGUUGUCGGACAUUGAUGUUGUACGCAACACUAGGCCAGAGUGGCUCUUUACCAAUAAUCCUAGACGUACGGGUUCUUACAGGCAUUCACGGGGCCUUCCCUUAAAUCUCUUCGGCCCCCUACCCGGGGUGGACCCGCCUCACUCUCCUUCUAUCCAAUUCUGUUAAGCCAACUCAGCCUGUAAUUAAACUUUGCCCGUAAUUUCAUGUACGUGUAGCAUUGCUCGCUCUUUACCCUACCCGAGCCGCUCUCGAAAAAUAUUCGCAUGGUAGUCCUGAUGACCAUGAGCCGCGUGUGGUACGUUCGGAAUGAACUCACACAUGGGAAGCCAGCCCCUCCAUCGAGGAAUAUACUAUAGAAAGGUUGUUGGUCUUCCCAACCAUAUGAGAGCCAUCUGCGCGAACGAGUGAUUUCACUCAAUACCAUGUUUUCCUCGAUGCUUGUUCUACAUAUUAUUUUUAUUAUAUCUAAUUAUCAAACAUAACAAAUAACUACAACCACUAGAAAUAGUAUGGAAGACAAUUCAAAGGCGUGGACGAGCUCGUCUGGUCACGGAAUCCAUAGGCGUCCACUCGCAUCAGGAUGUGAGACGCAUGUGUAUUUGCGUCGUCUAGGUGGCUUAUUUAAUGCGUAUGAGUCCGACCGAAGCAGUCAUGGGUGUACGCUGCAGGGCAACAGACGUCUUUCCGUCAAAGACAUGACGGUGGCAUGGUUCUGUACCAACAUGUGCCAAAGGUACGUCUGCAGGAGAUAAAGAUGCGACAGUAUCACGUCGUGCUGGAACUUUUUCUUUUAUUUGAAAACCACGCUGUGGUGGAUGGAUGGUAACAUUAGAUGUUUGCAUACAUAUGCAUGUAAGACACGGUCUAGGUGCGACAAACUGAAACUAACAGCACAAGUACACGGAGCCCUCAACAACACACAAGAAAAAUACAGCGGAGCAGAUCCGCUCUAAUCUUACCCCCAAAAACAGUUUGCAGCUCCCGUAAAACAGAUUUGUAAUAUCGCACGGCGUCGAGCGGAUAAAUUUGCGGUACGGGUUUGCGGCAUCUGUUUCGUCUGAUUCGCGCGGUACUGUAAAUCCGUAUCGCAAAUUAUGAUUUCAAAUAAUAUAUUGUAAAUAAAAACAGAAACACAUAUCAACUUAUUAAAUGUCUUAACAUCAUGCAAUACAAUAAAUUUUGAAAUCUGAAUAACAAAUGGUCCAAAAUUAUUACAAUACAAAUGGUCCGCAAUUUAAACAAUUGUUCAAAUCACACACUAAUACAAAUAAAUCAAAUUAAUAAAAAUGGCAGUCUAUUUUCUAUACAGUUGCAGCUGGCGCUUAAUGAGAUCAUUGCGGAGUUGCUGAUGUGUGUGUCCCUGUCUUCAGUCUGCUGGUAGGUCUCAAGAAAUGCACCGAUCUCAUCUAGGUUUCUGGUGGGCUUGACACGGCUACCAAUAUUGUCAUAGAAACACUCUAAUUUUAAAUCCCUCUCAUCCUCGAUGAUCAUGUUGUGUAGAAUUACACAUGCAGUCAUGAUAUUUGAGAGGGAUUUCUUAUUCUAGAUUCAAGCAGGACCUCGAACAACGGGAAACCGAGCUUGCAACGCACCAAAUGCACUCUCAAUAUAUUUUCGGCAUGCUUCAUGUGCUUGGGAAAAAAUAGUUUGUUUAUUUGCCUACUGGCUUACUAAUUGUCUUCACAAAUGUUACCCACCAAGGAUAAAUACGGACGGCAAGAUAAUACCCCAUGGUAUAAUCAUGUCCAUGAUGGUGUAGUUGCAAGCCGGAGCUAUUCCACUAGCUAGCCGCGCGAAAAGAUGUGAUCUAUGCAAUCCAUUGAUAUCAUUGAGAGACCUCAGCAAUCCAAAGAAGCAAUGCCAAAUUCACAAGUCUUACAAAGUCACGGUUUCAAGCACAAUAGUGGAUUUGCGGUUACAGUUGAUNNNNNNNNNNNNNNNNNNNNNNNNNNNNNNNNNNNNNNNNNNNNNNNNNNNNNNNNNNNNNNNNNNNNNNNNNNNNNNNNNNNNNNNNNNNNNNNNNNNNNNNNNNNNNNNNNNNNNNNNNNNNNNNNNNNNNNNNNNNNNNNNNNNNNNNNNNNNNNNNNNNNNNNNNNNNNNNNNNNNNNNNNNNNNNNNNNNNNNNNNNNNNNNNNNNNNNNNNNNNNNNNNNNNNNNNNNNNNNNNNNNNNNNNNNNNNNNNNNNNNNNNNNNNNNNNNNNNNNNNNACCAAUGCAUACAAUCCACACUCCCAAGCAUGCUCGACCAUCCUCUUGCUUCGUUCAUCGCCGUCAAUUUUUUUGUUCUCCUCAUUGGGAGCUUGAAGGUACUUGGGACCAAAUACCCGGAUCAAUGUUUUUACAAACACCCACACACAUUUGAGCGUGGUAUCUUCUCCAAUGCAAAGAUACUGAUCGGUGUAAUCAACUGGAAUGCAUGAAAUCCAUUCUCCCAAGCAUGCCCGACCAUCCACUUGCUUCGUUCAUCUCCAUCAAUUUUCUUGUCCUCCUUAUUGGCAGCUUGAAGGUACUUGGGACCAAAUACCCGGAUCGGUGGUUUUACAAACACCCGCACGCAUUGAGCAUGGUAUCUUCUCCGAUGCAAAGAUACUCAUUGUUAUAAUUGGUCGGAAUGCAAUAUGCUACCACUCUCAUUGCCGUCGAUAUUUUUCGGCAAGAACUAAAUCCAAGCAAACGGCGGCAUUCCUCUGGCGAGUGAAGAACCGGCAAUUUUGCUCGCAAACUUCCACAAUGCGAACACAAGGAUAUUAUUCCCUCCGUUCCUCCACAAUGCGAUGCACGGUGACCAAGUGUCGGUGUACUAGAGUAGGGGUACCCUAGUAUCCCGAACUUGUGCACGGGCAGUCGCAGCGCCUCACGGCAAGGCUUGCCGGGUGACCGCCCAGGUCCUCCGUGGUUCCUUUGGAGCCAUUCAAGAACAAAGUGUUCAAGUCAAGGAGACAAGGCCCCGGCAAGAGGAGCUUGCCGGGAAGGCCAACCAAGGCAUCUCAAGGAACUUGCCGCGACGCGCCUCGCGUCCCGGCAAGGCCCGGUGAGCGACAAGCUUCCGGGCGCGGCAAGACAACAACCGCGGCAAGGCGCUUGCCGCGGCAAGCUACCAUCCUGUACCCGCGCUCUAGCGCAUCCACCAACGUGUCGCCCUGGGGCCUUUCCAGGCGUGUGUGGCGAGAGGCUGUGCAGCCAACGGUGCGAGGUGGCAAGCGACGCUGACAAGAUUGCCAUCGUGGCGAGCGGUGGCGCCCCUGACGGUCCCUUUUUUGCACUGUUUGGGCGACACAGACGGGCAUUUAAUGCCUUUGUCCCCUGCCGUCAGGGUUAGGUAUGAUACACUGUUCAGGUAGUUGUACCAACCGCAACUCCUUUUCCAUUUUUGCCCUUGCCUACGUUGCCACCUGUCGGCGACCCCUUGAGCAUAUAAAAGGAGGCCCAUGCGCAACGUAGAGGGGGGUUCGAAACUAGAAAACACUCAGGCUCGGUCUCGUUAGCAGCUAGAGUGUACUGUAGCAUUCAGCGCUCCCGAGCAAGAACAUAAUACAAACCACAAAGCAGCAGUAGGAUUAUUAUCUCUCCGGAGAGCUCCGAAGCUGGGUAAAUCGCUCGUGUGCUUCGCCUCGAUCUGCUCUUCGUGCGAUCUCCGCCCCCCGCCGAACCGAAAGGGGCCCGGUCCGCCGGCCCCAUAGGUGUUCGUUCCCACGACAUCUAUGGCGCGCCAGGUAGGGGGCGUCGAGGUUGUGUGAACCUGAUCCAGCGUUCACGCGAACUAGAUCUUCAUCAUCUUCAUCGACAUGCCACCGAAGAAGAAGGCUUCGGAGGUGGCUGCUCCAUCCACGUCGAUCCCACCGCCACCGGAGCAAACGGGUGGUGGGGUAGACGCCGACGGGAGAACGGGCGUCGACAAGGGAGCUCACGGUGCUGCCAGGUCCAAGGACAAGGCUGCACAGACCUCAGCGUCCGUACAUGCACCGCGCCCAUCUUAGGAGGUGCGGGACCAACAACGUCGUGGUAUUCGCGGUACCAUACGUUCGUUGGACCGAGAUCGAGCUGGUGGAUCUCGGGAUGCUCAAGACCAGCAUGCGCGCCAACAUGCUGGCACGAGCAAGACAGGGUCGCCUAGACGGGAUGCUGCUCCUUCUAACAUAGUUAGAAGUCCGAGCAUAUCCCGCUCCUCGCACCGUUCGCCACCGCCACCCAAAACUUCGGAAAAAGCUUUGGCACGAGCUCAACUGCUCCUGGAUUACCCUCCAACGGCGGACAAGAUCGACGAAUGGAGGGCCACCAUUCAGAGUCUCAUCGGCUUCGCCAACGGCGACACUCCACGGCAGCCGACGACAUCGCAGCCGCGACAAGAUUGCCGGGCACGAGCCGAUGGCGACAAAACCGGUGGGGGUGCAACCACCAUGCACUCUCCGCCCCGAAGGCCAAGAUCGCCGACUCGCCGGGUCAACCUCGACACUGAAUCCACCGCGUCGUCAGAUCCACGAGCUCGUCGCGAUCAGCGCCAAGUUCUUCACGAACGACAGCAAGAAGACGCUCGUACUCGCAUCGAGCGUCGAAGAGAAGCGCGGCGUCAAUCGGACCAGCGCGCUGGGCCCACUGUCGACAUGCAUGCGCCAGGGGAACCAGGCGACUUUCCGUACGCGGUAGGUUGCCCUGCGUUCACUCGUGAGUUGCGGCAAGUCUAGUGGCCCAGCACGAAGAAUUUCAAGCCAGACGUACCAGAGAAGUACGACGGCAAGUUGCAUCUGUCGGAGUUCCUCAACAUCUACACCAUCGCGGUGCAAGCUGCCGGGGGGCGAGACGACAAGAUCCUUGCCAACUACUUCCCGCUGGUGCUCAAGCCCAAUGUCAGGUCCUGGCUCAUGCACUUGCCGGACAACUCCAUAUCCUCCUGGGCAGAUCUAUGCCAUCAGUUUGUCGGCGCCUUUACAGGUGGCCACAAGCCUCAUGGCCAAGAGAGCGACCUUCAUCUGCUCGCCCAGAAGGAAGGAGAGCCCCUGUGCAAGUACAUUCAGAGAUUCAGCCAAGUGCAGCGCAACAUCCCAGAUGUCCACCCUGCCGCGGUCAUCAGCGCGUUCCAUCAGAACGUGCGAAACCGCAGGAUGCGGGAGGAGAUGGCGAUGUGCAAGAUCAGAGACGUCAGUGAGCUAUAUGCCCUGGCCGACAAGUGUGCACGUGCUGAGGAAGGGAGGAAACUCCCCGGAGAGAAUGCAGGAGCAGGAGGAUCUGACAGCGAUGAUGCUGCCCCGGCAAGGAAAAACCGGCGGUGGAACAACAGGAAAAAGAAAGGCAAAGAUGUGCUAGCCGUUGAGCAGUCCGGCAACGGAGGUGGCGCCAAGGAAGCCGAAGCUGUGGCGGCCGCCGACAAGCAGGACGGCACCGGCAAGCAGUACUGCAAGAUCCACCGCACCAAGGGCCACGAUCUCCAGAGCUGCAAGAAGGUCGAGCAGCUUGUCGAGCAGCAAAAGGCUGAGUACGAGCGACGCGACAAGGAGAAGGCCCAAGAAGGUACUGGAGGAUCCGGCAAGAAGCGUCCCGGGCGAGGAGGACGCCGCGGCAAGGCCAAGCAGCGGCAAGGAGACAGGCCUCCCCGCGGCCGCGACAAGGAUGAAGAUGAAGACGACGAUGAAGAUAUGGAUGAUGACGAGGCCGAUGAGUAGGAGUUUCAGAAAGCCACAGAGGUCCUGUGCAUUGACGGCGGUGCUUCUCUGCAUACUUCGCACCGCCAGCUCAAGCAGUGGGUGCGGGAAGUCAAUGCGGCAGAACCACCUGUCGAGUCACGCAAGCCUCUGAAAUGGUCCAGCACACCUAUCAUCUUCGAUAUUGAGGACCACCCUGAUCGCAUAACUGCGGUCGGGUGCUUGCCGAUGUUGGUCUCACCAACUAUCCGCAACCUCAAGGUCACUAAGAUGCUAGUUGACGGCGGGGCCGGCUUGAACCUGAUCUCCUCCGCGGUACUCCAGAAACUUCAGAUCCCUGACAGCGAGCUCGAAGAGACCGGCACAUUCCAAGGAAUCAACCCGGGAAGGAGCAAGCCGAAGGGAAAGAUCACGUUGCCAGUGACAUUUGGCAGCGAGUUGAACUUCAGGACUGAGAGGGUCACUUUUGACGUUGCUGACUUCCCAUUGCCUUACAAUGGGAUACUCGGCCGUCCAGCGCUCGCCAAAUUCAUGGCAGCCUCUCACUAUGCGUACAACGUACUGAAGAUGCCAGGCCCGAUAAGUGUCAUCUCUGUCCCUGGCGACAAGAAGGAUGCUCUUAUCUGCACCGACAAGAUCUACCGGGACGCAGCAGCCGCAGCAGAACGCAAGUCACUUGCCGCUGAAGCUCCCGAGGGGAAGAAGAAGACCAAGUCCGGCAAGAGUUCUGAUGCCCACUCCGGCAAGCGCACCUCUUCGGAGUGCUGCGCUACCGUCGAGGACGCACCAUCGAGCUCCACCAGCAAGUGUAAGAAAGCAAUGGCAGCUCCACCAGAGACCAAGAAGGUGCCCGCCAAGGAGGACGGCACUGGUGGUACCUUCACCAUCAGUGCCACUCUCGACCCUAAAUAGGAAAGCGCGCUCAUUGUUUUCCUGUGGGCGAAUGUCGACGUGUUUGCGUGGCAACCGUCUGACAUCCCCGGUGUUCCCAGGAAAGUAAUCGAGCACCACCUUGCCGUCUGUCCUCAUGCGCGGCCCGUAAAGCAGAAGGUCAGGAAACAAGCAGUGGAGCGCCAAGAAUUCAUCGCAGAAGAAAUCAAGAAAUUGGAAGCAACAGGCCUUGUCAGAGGAGUGCUCCAUCCUACGUGGUUGGCCAAUCCUGUAGUCGUGCGCAAGGCGAACGGGAAAUGGAGGCUUUGUAUCGACUUUACCGAUGUUAAUAAAGCUUGUCCCAAAGACCCAUUUCCCUUGCCGCGCAUUGACCAGAUUGUUGACUCCACGGCCGGAUGUGACUUGCUUUCAUUUCUUGACGCAUACUCAGGAUACCAUCAGAUCUUCAUGGCAGAAGAGGAUGAGGAGAAGACCGCAUUCAUCACUCCAUGUGGCACGUACUGUUUCAUACGAAUGCCUUUCGGAUUAAAGAAUGCUGGUUCAACAUUUGCAAGGGUAGUACAUGACGCUUUUGAGCCACAAAUGCACAGAAAUGUGGAAUCCUACAUGGAUGACAUAGUGGUCAAGAGCAAGGACAAGGCAACUCUGAUUCAAGAUUUAGAUGAAACCUUUGCAAAUCUGUGCAAGAUCAAUCUCAAGCUUAACCCUGAGAAGUGCGUGUUUGGAGUCCCCUCCGGCAAGCUUCUCGGGUUCUUUGUGUCUCAACGGGGAAUUGAAGCCAAUCCCGACAAGAUCAAGGCCAUUGAGCAGAUUGAAGCACCAAAGCGCGUCAAGGAUGUACGAAGGCUUGCUAGUUGCGUGGCUGCUCUUAGCAGGUUUAUCUCUAAGUCUGCUGAGCGCGCCCUGCCGUUUUUCAAAAUAUUGAAAAAGGCAGGUCCAAUGAAAUGGACUCCAGAAGCGGAGGUUGCGCUGCAGGACUUGAAGAGAUACCUGUCCUCCACUCCAACACUUGUCGCACCUAAGCCACAAGAGAAGUUGCUGCUGUAUUUAGCGGCAACCAAUCAAGUGGUUAGUGUUGCGUUAGUAGUGGAGAGGGAGGCGGAUGAUGAGCCAGCAACCAUGGCAGGUGCAUCCAGCGACAAGCAGGGGGCUUCACCGGCAAGCUCUGGUCCCGACAAGGAUGGAUCUGCGCAGGCACAUGAGGAGGUGCGGAAGAAAAUGGUGCAGCGCCCAGUUUACUUUGUCAGUUCCCUUCUGCAGGGGGCUAGGUCAAGGUAUUCUGGUGUGCAGAAAUUGCUUUUUGGUCUUCUCAUGGCCUCAAGAAAGCUGCGCCAUUACUUCCAAGCACAUGAGAUCACAGUUGUCACUCGUUUUCCGCUAAAGAGGAUACUACAGAAUCCAGAAGCAACAGGCAGGAUUGUCGAGUGGGCACUGGAACUGUCAAGCUUUGGCCUCAAGUUUGAGAGCACUUCAACUAUCCAGAGCCGGGCAUUGGCAGAAUUCAUAGUAGAAUGGACGCCAACACCAGAUGAAGAAAUUCCAGAAACGAGCAUCCCUGUCAAGGAGGCAAGCAAAGAGUGGUUGAUGUACUUCGAUGGUGCCUUCUCGCUGCAAGGCGCCGGUGCGGGCGUGCUACUUGUCGCACCCACCGGGGAGCACCUCAAGUACGUAGUCCAGAUGCACUUUCCCAAGGAGCAAGCGACAAAUAAUACCGCAGAGUAUGAAGGUUUGCUUGCUGGUCUCAGGAUCGCGGCAGACCUUGGGAUCAAGAAGCUCAUUGUUAGGGGUGACUCGCAGCUUGUCGUCCGCCAAGUGAACAAGAAUUAUCAGAGUCCGUUGAUGGAAGCUUACGUUGAUGAGGUGAGAAAGUUACAAGAGCACUUUGACGGCCUACAGAUGGAACAUGUCCCAAGAGCUCAGAACGACAUUGCAGAUGGCCUGUCGAAGUGCGCCGCACUUAAGUUACCUAUGGAACCAGGAAUCUUUGUGCUCAAACUGACUCAACCGUCCGUAACAACAUCAACUGGACAGAGCAAGAAGAGGAAGUUGAUUUCUGGUGACUAUUUUCCGGCAGAGCUCCCCGAAGCCGCCGCCAAGAAGGUCCCCAAGAUCAACACCAAGGGUGCUGAGGAGCAGUCUGCUCCGACAAGCCCUAGGGUUUGUUCCGUUGAAGCAGACGCUCCCGACAAGUUUUGCUCCGGCAAGCUUGUCGGGGAACAUCAAGCUCCGGCUGAGCCGCAGAUUCUCGCCGUAGAAGCGGAUGUUCCCGCAGCAGCAUAUGUGCCCUUAGUCUUUGUUGUCGAGCCGCAAGCUCCAGCAUGGGCACAACAGAUUGUCCUUUUCCUUCAGACAGGAGAACUUCCCGAAGAGCAAGAGGAAGCGGAAAGAGUAGCCCGGCAGUCAAGUAUGUACCAGUUUGUCGACAACACACUGUACAGAAGAAGACUCAACGGCGUGAAAUUGAAGUGUAUUCACCGGGAAGAUGGACAAAAGCUGUUGGCAGAGAUACAUGGAGGCAUAUGUGGCCACCACAUUGGCGCAAGAGCACUUGCCGGCAAAGCGUUCCGGCAAGGUUUCUUUUGGCCGACAGCCCUCCAGGAUGCAACUGCACAAGUAACCAAGUGUGAAGCGUGCCAGUUCCAUUCCAAGCAGAUACACCAGCCAGCUCAAGCUCUCCAGACGAUCCCUUUAUCCUGGCCAUUUUCGGUCUGGGGGCUCGACAUCCUCGGCCCUUUUUCCCGAGCUGUCGGGGGCUUUGAGUACUUGUACGUUGCAAUCGACAAGUUCACAAAGUGGCCGGAAGUGGAAGCAGUGAGGAAGGUGACAGCACAGUCAGCGGUCAAGUUCUUCAGGUCGAUUGUUUGUCGCUUCGGGAUCCCUAACAGGAUCAUCACCGACAACGGCACGCAAUUCACGAGCCGCACCUUCAUGCAGUACGUCCAAGAUCUUGGCGCCAAGGUCUGCUUCGCUUCCGUUGCUCAUCCGAGAAGCAACGGUCAAGCGGAGAGGGCAAAUGCUGAAGUGCUGCGUGGGCUCAAGACCAGAACUUUCGAUAGGUUGCGCAGGUGCGGAAAGAACUGGAUUGAGGAGCUGCCGGUGGUUCUUUGGUCGAUCAGGACGCCGCCAAAUCGAGCCACUGCCCAGAUACCUUUCGCUCUAGUCUAUGGAGCAGAGACAGUUCUCCCCACGGAACUCGUAUAUGGGUCGCCUCGAGUGCUCGCUUAUGAUGGGCUUGAGCAAGAGCAGCUGCGACAAGAUGACGCGCUGCUCCUUGAGGAGGACCGUCUUCAGGCUGCGGUACGAGCUGCUCGCUACCAGCAAGCUUUGCACCGCUACCAUAGCCGCAAAGUUAAUGCCAGGAGUCUCGAGGAAGGCGACCUUGUUCUUCGGCGCGUUCAGUCCGCCAAGAAUUCCAACAAGUUGAUGCCGAAGUGGGAAGGCCCUUACCGGGUGAAACGAGUCACUAGGUCUGGCGCUGUCCGCCUUGAGACCGAAGAUGGCUUUCCGGUGAGCAAGUCCUGGAACAUUGAGCAUCUUCGUAAGUUUUACCCGUACGGCGCGGUUGCCGGAACCCGUUCCGGCAACCACCUUUUGUACAAGUCUUGCCGCUGUUGCAUGUAAUCCUUUGUACAAAGCCGGGCGCAGACCCCGUGCAUAAAUAAAGCUCAUGUGCUCCGCAUAUCUUGUCAAUUUCAUGCUUUCUAUUUUUUGCAUGUGUUAUCUGACACUUUGUGCAGCACCUACCCCCGGUAAGCAAUAACGAGCCGUAAGGCUCCAUAUCUUUAUUUUCUCUUCUUUCUCUUUCUCAAAGAAAGGAAGGUUCCCUCACCCACAAGUUUACCGGGGGGGAAGGAGGAGAUAAUGGUGUGGACCAGGCGUCCUUCAAGAAAGUUUUGCCUUGCCGGGACGCAAACGACAGAAAAGCUAAGUUGCCAAAGUUUGAGCAAUCAGUUUUAAAAAUUUUAAGUUAUCUUCCUCGAACGACCGUGCUUUGUAUGGAAAACCUGUGCGCGGAGGAACCAACUCGUAGCUAGUUGCGCCCUUACUUUGUUUCGAGUCCGCUCAACAACUUAAGUGAGCUGCGACUAGUUGCGACAAGGUUUCUUGUCGGUGGCGGCACCGCCAGCAGGCUGCUGACGUUCCGCACUCAGCGCUCGCGGCAAAGGCGCCUACACCGGCAAGUUCCCUAAAAGCGUAGGGUAAAAACAUACAAAGGAAGGAAUCAAGUAAAGGAAAUAACAUAGCAAUCGAUACCCAGAAUAAAAGUUAUAUUACAAGAGAGCUUGUCGCAGCUCUAAUGGAUUGUUCUCAUAACAUGACCAGCAGCGACAAGAAAAGAAGAAAACGGGCGGCCUAAUCUACGCGAUCGCCAUCAACCCUCUUGACCUCGUUCACCUUGUCCACAAUGGGUGCGACAAGGGCCUUCAGCACUUCCAGAUCAGCAUCCGCCAGCAGCUUCUUGAGGACAUUGGUGAGGUUGAGGCCCGGGUUGCGAAAGGCCACCUUCACCAGCACCUUUUGAAGAACUCUCGCGUAGAUCACGCGCGACUCGUCGGCUAGCUGCUUUGGGAUCCUUUCCUGGAGUCUCUGGAGGGCCGUCGCCACGCCUUUGAAGAACAAGGUGAGCUUGGCGCUGGGCUGGAGGUUCUCGUCGGAGGAAUAACCGAAAUCCUCCAUCCCUAGCUGCGCUAGCUCCUUGUCGAUGUCUGCGGCAACAUCCACGAUACCCUCCGUCCAGUGCUCCACAUUCUCCCUGAAGGUGUUCUGGGUGGCGGCAGCACUCGCCAGCAGCUCCUCGUUGGCCUUGAUCUCCUUCUUCAAGGCCACCUCCUGCUCCCUGGUGCCGUCCAGCGUCUUGGUCAAAGUAGCCAGCUUCAGCUCAAGAUCUGCGUUGGAGUCCUUGGCGGCGCUCAGCUCUUUUCCCUUCUCGACGAGACGAUCCUGCAGCUCACCGUGGGCAUGGGCGUCCUUCUCGCACUCACGCUUGAGCGCGACAAGCUCUUCAUCCCUCGCCUUGAGAUCAGCCUCUAGUUGCGCCACCUUCGUCUCCAGCUCCUUCUUGGCGGCCUCAGCAGCUGCAGCAGCAUCCUUUGCCUCCUUGAGAGCCCCGCCAAAUGUCUGCUCUCGCGUGGCAAGCUCCUCCUCAUGGCUGUCAAGAUUGACCUUCCGCUGCGCCAACUCGCCUUCCCGCGCAAACAGCUCCUCGGCGGCAAGCCGCUGUUGCUCUUCAGCUUCAGCCUUCUCGAGGAGGAAGGCUUUCCGCGCCUCGACGAAUUGCAUCCGCUUCUCUGCAAUGGACUGGAGGGCUUCCUGAUUGCGACUCCGGAGCUCCUCCGCAUGCUUCUCAAUAUCCACUCCCGCCUGCGCGACAAGCGCUUCCCGGGAUUCCACCUUGGCUUGUCGGGCGCAGUAGAGUGACACCAGCUUCCGCAGCAGCUGCUCCUCCUCGGACUCGCCGCUGCUGCUGCUCGGCGCGUCAACCAGCGUCAGCCCAGCGGAGGCGAGCACCUCUCCAUCAAAAGUUUCUCCUUCGACCGGCGCCCUGGAGCUUGACGCCCAGGGGAGCUUGAUGAAGACGCCAUCGCCGGCCUUGAGAUAGGCGCUGGGCUGGGGCUCUUCGGAGCCUAAUGCUGCGGAAGCGGCGGAGGGAUCGGCGGUCGGCGUAGCGCCUUGCGCUCCUGCGGCCUCGGGGCCGUCAGUGCGAUCGCCAGACCCCUCGCCAGCUCCUUCGGCGGCAGCUUUGGCGGCCUCCUCGCCGGCAGGAUCAUGGCGCCGGCUUCCUCCUUGGUGGCAGCGGCGUCAUUGGUGUUGCCGCGCGCGCUCUCCUCGCCGGUGGCCUCGGUCUCCAUCGGCUCCGUGGAAGGUGGAUCUGGCGACCGGAAAAGAGAGAAAAAGUCAAGCAAAUAUCCAAAAAGAAGAUCAGAAGAAGAACCCAAGGGAAGUUUUCAAGCAAGAAGGGUUACCUGUGCUGGGAUCUGCAGUCAUGGGCUCCACCACCGGGGGGUCGCUGGUGCUGUCUCUUGCCGGAGAACCAUCCCUUGCUAGAGAAUCGUCCCUUGCCGGAGACUUCUCCCUUGCCGGAGAACGCUCCUUUGUCGGGGAAUCCUCCCUUGGCGGCGUAGUCGAAGCAGAUAGCAUCUCGGGGGCGGCUUCCGGGUGCUCCUGGUGAGGCUGCUCUGCUCCUACACAAACCAACAGUUAGAUAUCAGCAAGAGAAGAACACCCAUGCGCGCCUAACAGCGAGAAGUAAACCAUAUACUUACGCUGGGGGCUGCGCUGGGGGCUGCUUUGGGGAAUGAUUGCCGGGUCCGGCAAGGUGGUCUCGGGCGCACCCCCUGCUGUCGCGGUGGGCUCGUCCUUGAUGACAAUCACCGGAGCCUUGGCUCUCUGCGCCACUCUCUGGGCCAGGGUCCUGAAAAGGAAUGAGUUCAGAGUAAAGCAAAUCAGAUACAAGACAAAAACAACAAGAAUUGAAGAACUACAAAUACAGCAAAGAAUCUUACUCUUCUUCUUCCUCGUCGGAGUUGAGUGCGGAGAGGUCGAAGUCCGGCCCACCUCCGGCGCGACGAGGCGGAGGAGUGGGUUCCCUUGAACGCUUGGCGGGGGCAGCGGCAGGAUCAGAAGCGGCGGUCCGGGAGGACCCCGCUCCAGUUGCCGUAGCGGCAUGAGGCGCUCCCGCGGCAACAGUGCUUGUCGCGGUGGAGCGUGUCCCGCGGCGCGACGGCUGUUGACUCGUCCGCCGCCCUGCUACGUCCCCGGCCUUGCGGAGGCGCCUUCUUGGUGGAGCUGGGGGCUGCGCUGGGGGCUCUGCUUGCGGCAAGCUGCUUGAAGAUGGCGGGCCGCUCGCACCCUCGGCGGGCUCGCUCGACUCAGCUUCAGGCUCGGCAAGCUCUCCCUCGCCGGCAAGCUCAUCUCGAUCGGCAAGGCUUGCCGCCUCUGCUGCCUCUGCCUCCUCAAUGGUGAAUCCAAACUCACCCGUGGCAGCGGCUGCCGCCGCCUCUUCCGCCCUAGUGGCGAUGCGCCGCAUCUCCGCAUCGGUGGUGUCGCGGGUGAGGCUCUUCUGUUCAUCGGAGCGGACCGCCACCUCCACCAGGUCGUCGAAGAACUCCUGCACAACAUCGUUUGCAGGCUCUUGCCAGGUUGGAACAAUUCCAUGCGAAUCACACAAAGGCAUCAUUGCACGGAUGCGAUCGAGCGAGGAAUUGUUGCACAGCGGGACGACGCCCUUCGGCAGCCUGAACCAUUCGGGAUGUUGAGGGUCGUGCUUGAACAGCUCCUUGAGCAUGGCGUCCAGUUCCAGGACGGUGAAGUUGAAGUUGAGGCCCGGGCGCAGCCUCAUGAUGUCUGCCGGACCCCCGAACUCCCAGGCGGGUCUCCUCCUUCCCUACAGGGGGGCGAUGCAGCGGCGAAGAAAAUCUGCGCCAACGGCGCCUACAGUGAGCCCGGCAAGCCUGAAGCGCAGGAUCCGGGUGACGGCGAUCUUUAGCCUAUCGUCUUCCGGCGCCAAGUUGCUCCAAUCGUUGCCGCGCACUGCUGGGGCUUGGCGCUGGGUAGUAAACGGCUGCGGGUUCUCCUCGACGAUCCAGCACCAGUCUACUCUCCACUCCUCCCAUUUGCUACGGAGCUCCCCCUCCAGAUAGGCCUCCUUCUUGCCGGCUCUCGAGAUCCAGGCGAUUCCGUCGGAUAGGGGCUCCCCUCUCUCAACCCGGGGCAUAAAGAAGUGGCCGAAAAGAGCUACGUUUGGGUGGACUCCGACAAAGUUUUCGCAGAGAUGCGCGAAAACUGCCAUGGUCAGAACAGCAUUGGGGGUGAAGUCAAGGAGAUGGAACCCGUAGGUGUUCAUAAUAUCGCAGAAGAAUUCAGAGAAGGGCGGGCAGAGCCCGCAGUAGAAGAACAACGCGAAGAAGGGAUAUCCGUUCGGAGCCCGUUCGGAAGCGGCGGCGGAGAGUACCUUCGUGCGCGGAUGCGCUCGCGUCUUCGUCGACCAGAAGAGGUUGUACCACUCCCUCAGCUCCUUCGCGGCGAGCUCGGGGAGGAAGAUUGCCCGCUCCUUUCGCAGCGCCUCGAGCCGCAGCGCCUCGGCCGACUUCACGGCCUUCCCGGUUUUCGGAGCCAUGGCGGAGGUGGUGGGGGAGAUCAACGGCGUUGGUGGCGCCGGUGGCGAUGGGGGGCGGACCGCUGCUCUCUUUCGGCUUUGGAAGAAAGGGGGGAGCGGCGGAGAUUUUUGAGAUUGGGACAGCAACUGGCGAGAUGGGGGAACUGCCCCUGUUUCCUCUGCUUAUAAAGAGGGAGGGGGCGGACGUUCCGCUUUUCCGAAUAAAGAACCACCCACGAUCUCUCCCACGACGCCGCAUUCAACGCGUGCUGUUACGGGAGGGUGCGGUGGAUACGGAGUAAGAUACGGCGUAACCCAGGCCGCGCGUGCCCGUGCCUUGUUUUGGGCCUGGCCCAACAGCGCUCGGCACCGUGUGUGGCCCAGGCCCGGGGGCUCCUGUCGGUGUACUAGAGUAGGGGUACCCUAGUAUCCCGAACUUGUGCACGGGCAGUCGCAGCGCCCCGCGGCAAGGCUUGCCGGGUGACCGCCAAGGUCCUCCGUGGUUCCUUUGGAGCCAUUCAAGAACAAAGUGUUCAAGUCAAGGAGACAAGGCCCCGGCCGAGGAGCUUGCCGGGAAGGCCAACCAAGGCAUCUCAAGGAACUUGCCGCGACGCUCCUCGCGUCCCGGCAAGGCCCGGUGAGCGACAAGCUUCCGGGCGCGGCAAGACAACAACCGCGGCAAGGCGCUUGCCGCGGCAAGCUACCAUCCUGUACCCGCGCUCUAGCGCAUCCACCAACGUGUCGCCCUGGGGCCUUUCUGUUGGAAAUAUGCCCUAGAGGCAAUAAUAAAAGUAUUAUUAUAUUUCCUUGUUCAUGAUAAUUGUCUUUUUAUUCAUGCUAUAACUGUAUUAUCCGAAAAUCGUAAUACACGUGUGAAUACAUAGACCACAAUAUGUCCCUAGUGAGCCUCUAGUUGACUAGCUCGUUGUGAUCAAAAGAUAGUCAUGGUUUCCUGGCUAUGGACAUUGGAUGUCGUUGAUAACGGGAUCACAUCAUUAGGAGAAUGAUGUGAUGGACAAGACCCAAUCCUAAGCAUAGCACAAAGAUCGUGUAGUUCGUUUGCUAGAGCUUUUCCAAUGUCAAGUAUCUCUUCCUUAGACCAUGAGAUCGUGUAACUCCCGGAUACUGUAGGAGUGCUUUGGGUGUAUCAAACAUCACAACGUAACUGCGUGACUAUAAAGGUGCACUACAGGUAUCUCCGAAAGUGUCUGUUGGGUUGACACGGAUCGAGACUGGGAUUUGUCACUCCGUGUAAACGGAGAGGUAUCUCUGGGCCCACUCGGUAGGACAUCAUCAUAAUGUGCACAAUGUGACCAAGGGGUUGAUCACGGGAUGAUGUGUUGCGGAACGAGUAAAGAGACUUGCCGGUAACGAGAUUGAACAAGGUAUCGGUAUACCGACGAUCGAAUCUCGGGCAAGUACAAUACCGUUAGACAAAGGGAAUUGUAUACGGGAUCGACUGAGUCCUUGACAUCGUGGUUCAUCCGAUGAGAUCAUCGUGGAACAUGUGGGAUCCAACAUGGGUAUCCAGAUCCCGCUGUUGGUUAUUGACCGGAGAACGUCUCGGUCAUGUCUACAUGUCUCCCGAACCCGUAGGGUCUACACACUUAAGAUUCGAUGAUGCUAGGGUUAUAAAGGAAGUUUGUAUGUGGUUACCGAAUGUUGUUCGGAGUCCCGGAUGAGAUCCUAGACGUCACGAGGAGUUUCGGAAUGGUCCGGAGGUAAAGAUUUAUAUAUUGGAAGUCCUGUUUUGGUCACCGGAAAAGUUUCGGGUUUUUCCGGUAACGUACCGGGACCACCGGGAGGGUCCCGGGGGUCCACCAAGUGGGGCCACCAACCCUAGAGGGUUGCAUGGGCUAUGUGUGGGAGGGGACCAGCCCCAGGUCGGCUGGUGCGCCCCCCCACAGGGCCCAAGACGCAGGAAGUGGGGAAAGGGGGCAAACCCUAGGGCAGAUGGGCCCUAAGGCCCACCCUGGGUGCGCCUCCCCCUCUCCCCUUCUGGCCGCCACCCAGAUGGGAUCUGGGGGCUGCCGCCACCCCUGGGGAGGGAACCCUAGAGGGGGCGCAGCCCCCUCCCCUCCCCCUAUAAAUACUUGAGGUCUGGGGCUGCCCAAUACACGAGAAUCUCUCCCUCUUGGUGCAGCCCUACCUCUCUUACUCCUCCUCUCCCGUGGUGCUUGGCGAAGCCCUGCAGGAUAGCCACGCUCCUCCAUCACUACCACGCCGUUGUGCUGCUGCUGGACGGAGUCUUCCUCAACCUCUCCCUCUCUCCUUGCUGGAUCAAGGCAUGGGAGACGUCACCGGGCUGUACGUGUGUUGAACGCGGAGGUACCGUCCGUUCGGCACUAGGAUCUCCGGUGAUUUGGAUCACGACGAGUAUGACUCCUUCAACCCCGUUCUCUUGAACGCUUCCGCUUAGCGAUCUACAAGGGUAUGUAGAUGCACUCUCCUUCCCCUCGUUGCUGGUUUCUCCAUAGAUAGAUCUUGGUGACACGUAGGAAAAUUUUGAAUUUCUGCUACGUUCCCCAACAGUGGCAUCAUGAGCUAGGUCUAUUGCGUAGAUUCUUUGCACGAGUAGAACACAAAGUAGUUGUGGGCGUUGAUUUUGUUCAAUAUGCUUACCGUUACUAGUCCAAUCUUGUUUCGACGGUAUUGUGGGAUGAAGCGGCCCGGACCGACCUUACACGUACUCUUACGUGAGACAGGUUCCACCGACUGACAUGCACUUGGUGCAUAAGGUGGCUAGCGGGUGCCAGUCUCUCCCACUUUAGUCGGAACGGAUUCGAUGAAAAGGGUCCUUAUGAAGGGUAAAUAGCAAUUAGCAUAUCACGUUGUGGUUUUGCGUAGGUAAGAAACGUUCUUGCUAGAAACCCAUAGCAGCCACGUAAAACAUGCAACAACAAUUAGAGGACGUCUAAAUUGUUUUUGUAGGGUAUGCUAUGUGAUGUGAUAUGGCCAAGAAGAAUGUGAUGAAUGAUAUGUGAUGUAUGAGAUUGAUCAUAUUCUUGUAAUAGGAAUCACGACUUGCAUGUCGAUGAGUAUGACAACCGGCAGGAGCCAUAGGAGUUGUCUUAAUUUAUUGUAUGACCUGCGUGUCAUUGAACAACGCCAUGUAAUUACUUUACUUUAUUGCUAACCGGUAGCCAUAGUAGUAGAAGUAAUAAGUUGGCGAGACAACUUCAUGGAGACACGAUGAUGGAGAUCAUGAUGAUGGAGAUCAUGGUGUCAUGCCGGUGACGAUGAUGAUCAUGGAGCCCCGAAGAUGGAGAUCAAAAGGAGCAAAAUGAUAUUGGCCAUAUCAUGUCACUAUUUGAUUGCAUGUGAUGUUUAUCAUGUUUAUGCAUCUUGUUUACUUAGAACGACGGUAGUAAAAAGAUGAUCCCUUACAAAAUUUCAUGAAGUGUUCUCCCCUAACUGUGCACCGUUGCUAAAGUUCAUCGCUUCUAAGCACCACGUGAUGAUCGGGUGUGAUGGAUUCUUAUUUUCACAUACAACGGGUGUAAGACAGAUUUACACACGCGAAACACUUAGGGUUAACUUGACGAGCCUAGCAUGUACAGACAUGGCCUCGGAACACAGAGACCGAAAGGUCAAGCAUGAGUCGUAUAGUAGAUACGAUCAACAUGAAGAUGUUCACCGAUGAUGACUAGUCCGUCUCACGUGAUGAUCGGACACGGCCUAGUUGACUCGGAUCAUGUAAUCACUUAGAUGACCAGAGGGAUGUCUAUCUCAGUGGGAGUUCAUAAGAUGAACUUAAUUAUCCUGAACAUAGUCAAAAGAUCUUUGCAAAUUAUGUCGUAAGCGCACGCUUUAGUUCCACUGUUUAGAUAUGUUCCUAGAGAAAAUAUAGUUGAAAGUUGACAGUAGCGAUUAUGCGGAUAGUAGAAAGCUUAUGUCCUUAAUGCACCGCUCAGUGUGCUGAACCCCAAACAUCGUUUGUGGAUGUGGCGAACAUCGGACAUACAUGUUUUGAUAACUACGUGAUAGUUCAGUUAAACGGUUUAGAGUUGAGGCACCAAAGACGUUUUCGAAACGUCGCGGAACAUAUGAGAUGUUUCGAGGGCUGAAAUUGAGAUUUCGGGCUCAUGCCCACGUCAAGAGGUAUGAGACCUCCGACGAUUUUCUUAGCCUACAAACUAAGGGAGAAAAGCUCAAUCGUUGAGCUUGUGCUCAGAUUGUCUGAGUGCAACAAUCACUUGAAUCGAGUGGGAGUUGAUCUUCCAGAUGAGAUAGUGAUGUUUCUCCAAAGUCAUUACCACCAAGCUGCUAGAGCUUCAUGGUGAGCUAUAACAUAUCAGGGAUAGAUAUGAUGAUCCUUGAGGUAUUCGCGAUGUUUGACACCGCGAAAGUAGAAAUCAAGAAGGAGCAUCAAUUGUUGAUGGUUGGUGAAACCACUAGUUUCAAGAAGGGCAAGGGCAAGAAGGGAUACUUCAUGAAAUGGCAAAUCAGCUGCUGCUCUAGUGAAGAAACCCAAGGUUGAACCCAAACCCAAGACUAAGUGCUUCUGUAAUAAGGGGAACAACCACUGGAGCAAGAUUACCCUAGAUACUUGGUAGAUGAGAAGGCUGGCAAGGUCGAUAGAAGUAUAUUGGAUAUACAUUAUGUUAAUGUGUACUUUACUAGUACUCCUAGUAGCACCAGGGUAUUAGAUACCGGUUCGGUUGCUAAGUGUUAGUAACUUGAAAUAAAAGCUACGAAAUAAACGGAGACUAGCUAAAGGUGAGCUGACGAUAUAUGUUGGAAGUGUUUCCAAGGUUGAUGUGAUCAAGCAUCGCAUGCUCCCUCUACCAUCGAGAUUUGGUGUUUGCGUUGAGCAUAGACAUGAUUGUAUUAUGUCUAUCGCAAUACGGUUAUUCAUUUAAGGAGAAUAAUGGUUACUCUAUUUAUUUGAAUAAUACCUUCAAUGGUCUUGCACCUAAAGGAAUGGUUUAUUGAAUCUCGAUCGUAGUGAUACACAUUUUCAUGCCAAAAGAUAAAAGAUAGUAAUGAUAGUACCACUUACUUGUGGCACUGCCAUGCAAGUCAUAUUGGUGUAAAACGCAUGAAGAAGCUCCAUGUUGAUGGAUCUUUGGACUCACUCGUUUUUGAAAAGUUUGAGACAUGCAAACCACGUCUAUUGGUGUAUACGCAUCAAGAAACUCCAUGCAGAUGGAUCGUUUGGACUCACUUGAUUUUGAAUCACUUGAGAUAUGCAAAUCAUACCACAUGGGCAAGAUGACUGAGAAGCCUCGUUUUUAGUAAGAUGGAACAAGAUAGCAACUUGUCAGAAGUAACACAUUUUGAUGUGUGCAGUCCAAUGAGUGCUGAGGCAUGCAGUGAAUAUCGUUAUGUUCUUACUUCACAGAUGAUUCGAGUAGAUGUUGAGUAUAUUUACUUGAUGAAACACAAGUCUGAAUUAUUGAAUGGUUCAAGUAAUUUCAGAGUGAAGUUGAAGAUCAUCAUGACAAGAGGAUGAAAUGUCUAUGAUAUGAUCAUAGAGAUGAAUAUCUGAGUUACAAGCUUUGGCACGCAAUUAAGACAUUGUGGAAAUUGUUUCACAAUUAAUACUGCCUGGAACACCAUAGUUUGAUGGUGUGUCCGAACAUCAUAGUUGCACCCUAUUGGAUAUGGUGCGUACCAUGAUGUCUCUUAUCGAAUUACCACUAUCGUUCAUGGGUUAGGCAUUAGAGACAACCAGACUCACUUUAAUAGGGCACCGCGUAAUUCCGUUGAGAUGACACCCUAUGAACUAUGGUUUAGAGAAACCUAAGCUGUCAUUUCUUAAAGGUUUGGGGCUACGAAGCUUAUGUGAAAAAGUUUCAAGUUGAUAAGCUCGAACCCAAAGCGGAUAAAAUGCAUCUUCAUAGGACACCCAAAACAGUUGGGUAUACCUCCUAAUUCAGAUCCGAAAGCAAUAGGGAUUGUUUCUUGAAUCGGGUCCUUUCUCGAGGAAAUGUUUGUCUCGAAAAGUUGAGUGGGAGGAUGGUGGAGACUUGAUAUGGUUAUUGAACCGUCACUACAACUAGUGUGUAGCAGGGCGCAGGAAGUUGUUCCUGUGGCACCUACACCAAUUGAAGUAGAAGCUUAUGAUAGUGAUCAUGAAACUUCGGAUCAAGUCACUACCGUACCUCGUAGGGUGAGAAGGAUGCGUACUACUUCAGAGUGGUACAGUAAUCCUGUCUUGAAGGUCAUGUUGCUAGACAACAAUGAACCUACGAGCUAUGGAGAAGUGAUGGUGGGCCCAAAUUCCGACAAAUGGUUAGAAGCCAUGAAAUCCGAGAUAGGAUCCAUGUAUCAGAACAAAGCAUGGACUUCGGUGGACUUGCCCAAUGAUCGGCAAGCCAUUGAGAUAAAUGGAUCUUUAAGAAGAAGACGGACGUGGACGGUGAUGUCACCGUCUAUGAAGCUCGACUUGUGGCGAAGAAUUUUUCACAAGUUCAAGGAGUUGACUACGAUGAGAUUUUCUCAUCCGUAGCGAUGCUUAAGUCCGCCGGAAUCAUGUUAGCGUUAGCUGCAUUUAUGAAAUCUGGCAGAUGGAUGUCAAAACGAGUUUCCUUACCAGUCUUCGUAAGGAAAGGUUGUAUGUGAUACAAUCCGAAAGUUUUUGUCGAUCCUAAGGAUGCUAAAAGGUAUGCUGGCUCCAGCGAUCCUUCUAAGGACUGGAGUAAGCAUCUUGGAGUUGGAAUGUACGUUUUGAUGAGAUGAUCAAAGAUUUUGGGUUUAUACAAAAGUUUAUGAGAAACUUGUAUUUCCAAAGAAGUGAGUGGGAGCACUAUAGAAUUUCUGAUGAGUAUAUGUUAUUGACAUACUGUUGAUCAGAAAUGAUGUAGAAUUUCUGGAAAGCAUAUAGGGUUAUUUGAAAAGUGUUUUUCAAUGGAAAACCUGAAUUAGGCUACUUGAAUAAUAAGCAUCAAGAUCUAUAAGAUAGAUCAAAAUGCUUAAUAGUACUUUCAAAUGAGCACGUACCUUGACAUGAUCUUGAAGGAGUUCAAGAUGGAUCAGUCAAAGAAGGAUUUCUUGCCUGAGAUGUAAGGUAUGAAGUUAAGACUUAAAAGCUCGACCACGGCAGAAUAGAGAGAAAGGACGAAGGUCGUCCCCUAUACUUCAGACAUAGGCUCUAUAGUAUGCUAUGCUGUGUACCGCACCGGAAGUGUGCCGUGCCAUGAGUCAGUCAAGGGGUACAAGAAUGAUCCAGGAAUGGAUCAUUGGACAGCGGUCAAAAUUGUCCUUGGAGUAAAUAAGGACAUGUUUCUCGAUUAUGGAGGUGAUAAAGAGUUCGGCGUAAAGGGUUACGUCGAUGCAAUCUUUAACACCUAUCCGAAUGACUCUGAGUAGCAAACCGGAUACGUAUAGUGGAGCAACCAUUUUGAAUAGCUCCAAGUGGAGCGUGGAAGCAGCGUUUACAAUAUGACCUAGAGAUUUGCGAAGUACAUACGGAUCUGAAUGUUGCAGACCCGUUGACUAAAACCUCUCUCACAAGCAAAACAUGAUCAAAACCCCAGAACUCAUUGAGUCUUAAUCACAUGAUGAUGUGAACUAGUUUAAUGACACUAGUAAACUCUUUGGAUGUUGGUCACAUGGUGAUGUGACUUGUGAAUGUUAAUCACAUGGCGAUGUGAACUAGAUUAUUGACUCUAGUGCAAGUGGGAGACUGUUGGAAAUAUGCCCUAGAGGCAAUAAUAAAAGUAUUAUUAUAUUUCCUUGUUCAUGAUAAUUGUCUUUUUAUUCAUGCUAUAACUGUAUUAUCCGGAAAUCAUAAUACACGUGUGAAUACAUAGACCACAAUAUGUCCCUAGUGAGCCUCUAGUUGACUAGCUCGUUGUGAUCAACAGAUAGUCAUGGUUUCCUGGCUAUGGACACUGGAUGUCGUUGAUAACGGGAUCACAUCAUUAGGAGAAUGAUGUGAUGGACAAGACCCAAUCCUAAGCAUAGCACAAAGAUUGUGUAGUUCGUUUGCUAGAGCUUUUCCAAUGUCAAGUAUCUCUUCCUUAGACCAUGAGACCGUGUAACUCCCGGAUACCGUAGGAGUGCUUUGGGUGUAUCAAACGUCACAACGUAACUGGGUGACUAUAAAGGUGCACUACAGGUAUCUCCGAAAGUGUCUGUUGGGUUGACACGGAUCGAGACUGGGAUUUGUCACUCCGUGUAAACGGAGAGGUAUCUCUGGGCCCACUCGGUAGGACAUCAUCAUAAUGUGCACAAUGUGACCAAGGGGUUGAUCACGGGAUGAUGUGUUGCGGAACGAGUAAAGAGACUUGCCAGUAACGAGAUUGAACAAGGUAUCGGUAUACCGACGAUCGAAUCUCGGGCAAGUACAAUACCGUUAGACAAAGGGAAUUGUAUACGGGAUCGACUGAGUCCUUGACAUCGUGGUUCAUCCGAUGAGAUCAUUGUGGAACAUGUGGGAGCCAACAUGGGUAUCCAGAUCCCGCUGUUGGUUAUUGACCGGAGAAUGUCUCGGUCAUGUCUACAUGUCUCCCGAACCCGUAGGGUCUACGCACUUAAGGUUCGAUGAUGCUAGGGUUAUAAAGGAAGUUUGUAUGUGGUUACUGAAUGUUGUUCGGAGUCCCGGAUGAGAUCUCGGACGUCACGAGGAGUUUCGGAAUGGUCCGAAGGUAAAGAUUUAUAUAUUGGAAGUCCUGUUUUGGUCACCGGAAAAGUUUCGGGUUUUUCCGGUAACGUACCGGGACCACCGGGAGGGUCCCGGGCGUCCACCAAGUGGGGCCACCAACCUUGAAGGGUUGCAUGGGCUAUGUGUGGGAGGGGACCAGCCCCAGGUGGGCUGGUGCGCCCCCCCACAGGGCCCAAGGCGCAGGAAGUGGGGAAAGGGGGCAAACCCUAGGGCAGAUGGGCCCUAAGGCCCACCCUGGGUGCGCCUCCCCCCUCUCCCCUUCUGGCCGCCACCCAGAUGGGAUCUGGGGGCUGCCGCCACCCCUGGGGAGGGAACCCUAGAGGGGGCGCAGCCCCCUCCCCUCCCCCUAUAAAUACUUGAGGUCUGGGGGCUGCCCAAUACACGAGAAUCUCUCCCUCUUGGUGCAGCCCUACCUCUCUUACUCCUCCUCUCCCGUGGUGCUUGGCGAAGCCCUGCAGGAUAGCCACGCUCCUCCAUCACCACCACGCCAUUGUGCUGCUGCUGGACGGAGUCUUCCUCAACCUCUCCCUCUCUCCUUGCUGGAUCAAGGCAUGGGAGACGUCACCGGGCUGCACGUGUGUUGAACGCAGAGGUGCCGUCUGUUCGGCACUAGGAUCUCUGGUGAUUUGGAUCACGACGAGUACGACUCCUUCAACCCCGUUCUCUUGAAUGCUUCCGCUUAGCGAUCUACAAGGGUAUGUAGAUGCACUCUCCUUCCCCUUGUUGCUGGUUUCUCCAUAGAUAGAUCUUGGUGACACGUAGGAAAAUUUUUAAUUUCUGCUAUGUUCCCCAACACUUUCCAGGCGCGCGUGGCGAGAGGCUGUGCAGCCAACGGUGCGAGGUGGCAAGCGACGCUGACAAGAUUGCCAUCGUGGCAAGCAGUGGCGCCCCUGACGGUCCCUUUUUUGCACUGUUUGGGCGACACAGACGGGCAUUUAAUGCCUUUGUCCCCUGCCGUCAGGGUUAGGUAUGAUACGCUGUUCAGGUAGUUGUACCAACCGCAACUCCUUUUCCAUUUUUGCCCUUGCCUACGUUGCCACCUGUCGGUGACCCCUUGAGCAUAUAAAAGGAGGCCCAUGCGCAACGUAGAGGGGGGUUCGAAACCAGAAAACACUCACGCUCGGUCUCGUUAGCAGCUAGAGUGUACUGUAGCAUUCAGCGCUCCCGAGCAAGAACACUAUACAAACCACAAAGCAGCAGUAGGAGUAUUAUCUCUCCGGAGAGCUCCGAAGCUGGGUAAAUCGCUCGUCUGCUUCGCCUCGAUCUGCUCUUCGUGCGAUCUCCGCCCCCCGCCGAACCGAAAGGGGCCCGGUGUGACGCCCGGAUGAUUAGCUACAGUUAUCCCACAUUAAUGAUGCCAUGUCACCACGGUCACUGUUGUUAACCUCGCGAUGAUUCGAAACCGUUUCAAAAUUCAAAUUCAAAUUAAUGUCAACAAUAAAAGUUUUUGAAAGUUAAAACAAAAAUGUUCGGGAGGUGCCAUAAUUUGCAUAUGUAAGUAUGGUGCAAUAAACACAUUUUUAUAAAAUGCCUAGAUAUUUUAUAGUGGAUGGAAACAACAAAAUAAUUAAAUAAAAAGAAAAGCAGAACCUAACUAAAACAAAAAAACAAAAGCCUGCCGCCCCCCCCCCCACUAGGCGUCGGCCCAGCUGGCCAUCGGGCCAACCAGGCCGGCCCACCCGCGCCUACUAACCCCCACCCUGGUCAAACCCUAUCCCACCGACACCCCCACUCCCCCACUCACUCGCCUCUUCCUCUCCCCCGUCUCCUCUCGAUCCCAUCUGGAUCGGGGAGGGGCCCGACCCCGACGCCGCCAUCGCACCUACGCCCCAUCGCCAUCCCCUGCCGCGCCGGAGCCCCACCACCACUGCCGCGCCCGCGCCGGGGAAUCCCCCGCCUAUCGGCGUCCUCGCGCCAUCGCCGCGCAGAAGCUCCUCCCUCGCCGCCUGAAGGCCUCGCCGUCGUCGGAUCUCCCCACCGGACCUCCUCAUCUCCUUAUCGCCGGUCUACCCCAGGCCUCGCUGCCUCUUCCCUGCAACGUUGGUGAGGCCCCCGGCCUUCGCCUUCCCUACUUCCUCGCCCCCCUUUCCUCUCUAUCACCGCGGCCACCGCGCCCUCGAUGGGGUCCGGCCACGCCCGCGGUCACUGCGCCCCGCUGUGCCCCCUGCUCCUAGCUGCUGCAACUGCUUCUGCUGUUGCCCUGUUGGACCUCGUCCCCUCGCCACUGCUCGUCGGAGCCGCCGCGCCGCGCCGUGCCAACCCGGCUCCCGCGCUGUCCCCUUCACCGCGCCCGACCCUCACACCACAGCCCCGCCUCUGCGUUCGCCGGCGUCGCGCCGCGCGCCCGCCCCUUCUCUCGCUGACUGCAACCCCCGCUCGGGUGCCCAUCCGGGCUCGCCCAUUAACCCGUUAGCCCACACCCGCUAUGGCCCCCUAGCCUAUGACAUGUGGGGCCGUCCCCUAGAACAUUAAAAAAAGAAAUAAAUAAAUAAUAAUUAUAGUUAAAAUAUUAAUUAAUUAAUUAAAGAAUCAAUUAACUUAAUUAAUCUUGUUUAGAUUAAUCUAAUCACUUAGGUUAGUUAAUUAAUCUGUUAGGUUAGUUAACAGUCAAUGACAGCUGGGACCCACACCUUAGUUUGACCCAGUCAAUGCCCUGUUGACUGCUAACAUCAUGAUGACAUCAUCAAACACUGUUUUGGAUAAUGUUGGAUUUAAAUAAAUAAUUAAAAUCAGAAAAAUGAAUAAAAUCUUUAGAAAAUCAUAUCUUUUAAUCCGUAGCUCGGAUUAAAAUAUUUUCAACAUGAAAGUUGCUCAGAACGACGAGACGAUUCCGGAUACGCAACCCGUUCGUCUGCCACACCCCCCUAACAUAUCGAACUCGCAACUUUCCCCCUCCGGCUCCUUUGCCCGAAAACGCGAAACGCCGGGGAUACUUUCCCGGAUGUUUCCCCCCUUCACCGGUAUCACCUCAUACCGCGAUAGAACACGUCUAGCUCUGCUUGUUGUCCUGUUAUGCACUUGCUUGCUAUGUAUUUACUGUUUCUCCCUCUAUUCUCUCCAGUAGACCCCGUGACGAUGUUGAUGCCCCUGUGGUCGACUACGUCACCGACGACCCCUCCUUCUUGUCUGAGCAACCAGGCAAGCCCCCCCUUGAUCACCAGAUAUCGCCUAUUCUCCUCUAUACUGCUUGCAUUAGAGUAGUGUAGCAUGUUACUGCUUUCCGUUGAUCCUAUUCUGAUGCAUAGCCUGACAUUGUUGCUACAUCUGUUGAUACCUUACCUGCAAUCCUAAAUGCUUAGUAUAGGAUGCUAGUUUAUCAUCAUUGGCCCUACACUCUUGUCAGACUGCCUUGCUAUACUAUUGGGCCGUGAUCACUCGGGAGGUGAUCACGGGUAUAUACUAUACAUAUAUACAUACUACAGAUGGUGACUAAAGUCGGGUCUGCUCGAAGAGUACCCGCGAGUGAUUCACGGAUUGGGGGCUGAAAGGACCUUUGUCCCGACGGCCCUUUGUGUGGAUCUUUGUGGCGGAGCGACAGGGCAGGUUGAGACCACCUAGGCGAGAGGUGGGCCUGGCCCUGGUCGGCGUCCGCGGUUGCUUCAUAAUAACACGCUUAACGAGAUCUUGGUAUUUGAUCUAAGUCUGGCCAUUUGGUCUAUACGCACUAACCAUCUACGCGGGAGUAGUUAUGGGUAUCCCGGCGUCGUGGUAUCAGCCGAAGCCUUCGUGACGUCAGCAACUAAGCGGCGCGCGCCGGAUUGGACUGGAACGCCACUAGGCUAGGUCUGCUUCCGGCCGCCCACGCAACGUGCAGGUGUGCUCAGGGCGAUGGGCCCAGACCCCUGCGCGCUUAGGUUUAGACAGGCGUGCUGACCUCUCUGUUGUGCCUAGGUGGGGCUGCGACGUGUUGAUCUUCCGAGGCCGGGCAUGACCCAGGAAAGUGUGUCCGGCCAAAUGGGAUCGAGCGUGUUGGGUUAUGUGGUGCACCCCUGCAGGGAAGUUUAUCUAUUCGAAUAGCCGUGUCCCUCGGUAAAAGGAUGACCCGGAGUUGUACCUUGACCUUAUGACAACUAGAACCGGAUACUUAAUAAAAUACACCCAGACAAGUUCCACAGACAACCCGGUGAUCGCUUUUCCACAGGGCGACGAGGGGAGGAUCGCCGGGUAGGAUUAUGCUAUGCGAUGCUACUGGAGAUGCUACUUGGAGAUGCUACUUGGAGAUGCUACUUGGCGAUGCUACUUGGAGGACUUCAAUCUACUCUCUUCUACAUGCUGCAAGACGGAGGCUGCCAGAAGCGUAGUCUUCGACAGGAUUAGCUAUCCCCCUCUUAUUCUGGCAUUCUGUAGUUCAGUCCACUGAUAUGGCCCUUUACACAUAUACCCAUGCAUAUGUAGUGUAGCUCCUUGCUUGCGAGUACUUUGGAUGAGUACUCACGGUUGCUUUCUCCCCCCUUUUCCCCCUUUCCUUUCUUUCUGGUUGUCGCAACCAGAUGCUGGAGCCCAGGAGCCAGACGCUACCGUUGACGAUGACUACUACACUGGAGGUGCCUACUACUACGUGCAGCCCGCUGACGACGACCAGGAGUAGUUUUGGAGGAUCCCAGGCAGGAGGCCUGCGCCUCUUUCGAUCUGUAUCCUAGUUUGUGCUAGCCUUCUUAAGGCAAACUUGUUUAACUUAUGUCUGUACUCAGAUAUUGUUGCUUCCGCUGACUCGUCUAUGAUCGAGCACUUGUAUUCGAGCCCUCGAGGCCCCUGGCUUGUAUUAUGAUGCUUGUAUGACUUAUUUAUGUUUUUAGAGUUGUGUUGUGAUAUCUUCCCGUGAGUCCCUGAUCUUGAUCGUACACGUUUGUGUGCAUGAUUAGUGUACGAUUGAAUCGGGGGCGUCACAAGUUGGUAUCAGAGCCGAUUGCCUGUAGGAAUCCCCCUUCCACACUCCUUGGCCGAAGUCGAGUCUAGACAUUGCAAAACUUUUACUAACAUGGCUGUGCGGCCCAUGGGCCCACGUCGCCAUUGGGUGGUAUUAGGAUCUUUUACUCCCCGACCUUUACUCUGGGACUCUGAUCUCUCUUCUAUUCGGGUUAAAUGAAUUUUGCUAAAUCUAACAUUAGGAUCUCGUUAUCACUUUCACCCGGAGAGCCCCUUAUUACUAAGGAUCGUCUGCUGCACAUGAAGACCCUGAAGAUACUCACCGCGGUUAACCCGAGAACUUCUAUUCAUCGCGUUUGCAAUUCCCCUUCCAUCGUCAACCCUUAUGGAUAACUACUUGCAGUUGUUAUUCUUACAUUCAUCCCCAGUUAGUCUUGUUAUUACAAGAUACCCCGAAAUACUCGUCAUUGUUUCGAUAAUCCUUUGAGCUUAUUGCCUUGCUGUUCUUUGUCACCUGAAUACCCCUACGGAUAAUUCUCGCACUUAUCGAGUAUCCGCUUAUCCCCAGUUGUUCAUAUGCUUUUCAAAUUACUUGGAAAUACUACCCGAUCUUCCGAGUAUCCUCUUCAAACUAUUGCUCGGCAAAUACUUGUCGGCUUGCAAUAUGGAUGCUUUCCAUAUGUGUAGCAAUAUUCAUUAGUAUCCUUUGACACGAUCAUUUUGAUCCUAUCGAUUCAACAUGUGUGUGAAAGCACGCAAUCAUCAGUUGAUCCUUUUAAAUUAUCUUUCCGGCUCAGACAUCAUUUUUGAACAUGAGCUGGUUCUCGACCAAACUAUUUGUCGUCAAUUGUGCCUCUGGUCUAUCCAACUUAUCCAUCCUUGAUCAGAGUGUCUGCUUCUGAUCCCUUGUUUUGGAAAUCAUAAUUCCUUUGUUAUAUAAGCAUCGAAUUGUUCAGAUGUUCUAUAAUAUGAUGCCCG